ACACCUCCUUCUUGUGUUGACACUCAGCAGGUAAAAUGGUUGACACCACGUCCUGAUCCCUUAGAUCAAGCCACCUAGAGCUUUUCGGUCGAUUUACGCGAUUUCGGUCCUUCUGGUGAAUUUGCGUCCCGCGUUCAAUCUCGGAUAUUUUUCCGCUACCAUUCUGAUGAGCUGAAUAUUUUUUAUAGACUCCAGACUAACCUUAACCUUGAGGAUACAAAUUUACCAAGCCUUCGGCUUCCCCGAGAAAUUCGAUAAAACCGAAAUUAGGGUUUUUUUUUUUAAGAUGGAGUAUUACUCACACGAUAUCUCCACCGUGUCUUGCUUGAAUCCAAGCUCUUCUGCUAAUCCCCUUAACCACAUUUCUUCUUUGACUGCUUCAUCCAGCAUUAUAUACUUCCCUUCGGUCAUUGACAGAGCCACUACACUUUGUAAACUUGAUGUUCGGCUGAUUGUAUUCCCACCAGUCAUGAAAACAUAACCUGAGAUAGACCUUCUCUUGUCCAGAUCUGAAGCUAAAUCAGAAUCACAGAAACUUUCAACCAUAAACACCUCAUUUUUCCUGAAGUACAGUUUCAGAUUUUGUGUUCCCUUCAGGUAUCUCAAUACCCACUUAACCGCAGUCCAGUGAACCAUCCCAUGCUUGCUCAUAUACCAGCUAACCAACCCAAAUGCAUAUGACAGAUCACCCCACGUACCUAUCAUAGCAUACAUUGUGCUUCCGAUAGCAUUAGCGUAUGUAAUAUCAUCCAUACAUGUCUCUACUUCAUCAUCAUCUACGGCAGACAAUUUGCGUUGACACACACUGACUCAUCCAUGUCGAAUACCCUGAGAAUAUUCUUGAUAUAACCAGAUUGAGAUAGUGUCAGAAUCUUCUUUCCAUGAUCUCUCUCAAUAUUCGUUCCCGAAAUUCGCCUUGCGGGAUCUAAGUCAUUCAUCUCAAAUCUGCCGCUAAGUACCUGCUUUACCUUCAUGAUUUCUACUGCAUCCCUUGACGCAACCAACUUAUCAUCCACAUAUAACAAUAGAUAGAUGUAUGUACCCUUGGUUACCUUAUUGAUAUAAACACAGUGAUCAUAUUCACUCUUCACAAAUCCAUGACUAACCACAAACUAACCAAAACACUUGUUCCAUUGUCUUGGUGCCUACUUUCGUCCAUGUAAAUCUCUUCUUGUCCACAAUAUCUUCUCCUUUAACCUGAAACCGUUCUGGUUGCUCCAUGUAAAUCUCUUCUUCAAGUGUACCAUGAAGAAACAUAGUCUUUACAUCAAGUUGCUUAAGCUCCAAAUCCAGAUACACUGAAAUUGACAACAAGAACCUUAUGGAUAUAUGUUUUACGACGGGUGAUAUACUAUGGAUUUUACCCAUUUUUAGCCAUGAUAUAUAAGUGUUUUAGGAACUAUCUAUGUUGUUUUCAAGGAUUUUUAGCACUUUUACAAGUUCAUGGGUGAUUUGGAGAAAAUGAUGAUUUCGGUGUAUUUUGGAGAUAAAAUGAGAAAAAGCUCGAAGCUGACCAUCAAACCCGUUCGAGGUCGACAUUCGGAUAGGGAAGCGUGCAAAGCUUAGCCGGCUUAAAAUCUAAGUCAAGACAUAUUUACGUAAAUGCCCUGGCGACUUUUAACCUAAUAUUUAUGUGUUCUGCCAUUGUACUAGGCAAUACACACUUUCUUUACUUUCUAGUUUUUACACAGCAAACUAUUCCUAAGUUUUUUAGUAGAUUUGGAGAGAAGAUCCAAGACUCCUUUAGAGAUUUGUAUUGCAACUUCAGUAUUUCUAACUUUAAUCUAUUUAUGAAUCUUUUAUUGAUUACUGUUAUGAAUUGUUUUGCUAUGUCUGAGUAGUUCUCCUUGUUAGGUUUAGGUUCAAAUAGGAUUAUGAAGGAUUAGCCCCAAAUAUAGAAUUGGUGAGUUGUUUGUGAUAUUCAUCAGUUGAAUUGCUCUUAUUGCUUGUGUUCUAGAGUAGCUAACUAGAACCCUGAAUUUUGGAUAAUCGGGCGCAAACAGAAUUUGAUCUAGGAAACCUAGUGAACAUAGUUCAAACCCGCUCGAUAAAGCUUGCUGGAAGGUAAAUCGAUCGACAACGCUCCUUUUCAUGAUUUAGCAACAACAUCUCGUGGGAAAAAUUUAGUAAAAGGAUUCACUAGGUUGUCAGCCGAUUUGAUGUAGUCUAUUGUGAUUAAACCAGAUGAGAUAAGUUGUCUAAUAGUUUUAUGUCGUCUUUUGAUGUGAUGAGAUUUACCAUUGUAUGCGUAUAGCUGGCAUAUGUUUCUCCCACAUAGAAAUAUCUUCCAAAGAAAUUUCUAAGCCAUUCAGCUUCUUCUGCUGCUUUUUCUAAGGCUAUGAACUCAGAAUCUAUGGGGGAUCUGGCUAACACUGUUUGUUUGAUAGAUUUUCAUGAUAAUUUUUCUCCUCCUAGUGUAAAGACAUAUCCACUUGUAGAUUUUGAGUUUUUAGAAUCGGAUAUCCAGUUAGCGUUAUUGUAUUCUUCUAAACUGUUGGUUCUUUACUCUAGUGAGGCCCAAAAUCUUUGGGUACUCUCGUUAUAGCUUUCCAGUGUUUGUGACAAGGAUUACUUGGAUAUCAACUCAGUAUGUUUACUGUGUGCGCUAGAUCUGGUCUAGUAGAAUUGGUUAAGUACAUGAGACUAUUCGAUCAAACGUGCAUACUCGUUUUGUGACACUGAUUCACCUGAAUUCUUUGUUAAGUGAAGUAAAGGAUCUAACGGAGUUUUUUGCCGUACCAUUAGAGUAAUUUUUAAAUCUCUCUAAUAUUGUUUGAGCAUAAUGAAAUUGGGUUAAGAUAAUUCCGCUUGAAUUUCUUGUGACUUUACAUCUGCUAAUCUCAAGUCUUUCAUCUCAAAUUUUCCUUUGAACAUGUUCUUUGUUUGAUUGAUAAUAUCUUUAUUACUUCCAAUAAUGAUCAUAUCAUCUACAUAUAGACACAACAAAACAUACAUAUUUUUGGUAGUUUUGUAGUAUAUGCAUUUGUCACAUUCAUUAAUUUUGAAACCAUUUGACAUCAUUGUAUUGUCAAAUUUUUUGUGCCAUUGUUACGAACUUGUUUAAGCCUAUAAAGUGACUUUACAAGUUGGCAUACUCUGUCAUCAUAUACAAGAAUGACAAAACCCUCAGAGAUUGUUUCAUGUAAAUUUCCUCUUAUAAAUCAUCAUUUAGAAAGAAAAAAAAACAGUUUUUACAUUUAUUUGAUGGAUUUCGAAGUCUCUUAAAGAUGUGAUUGCUAUCAUCAGUCUUAUUGAUUAUCAAAUAUAUUUUUUUAUGAAUUAUCAUCGAUUGUUAUUUCUUAUCAUAAAUUUUCUUAUUUUUUCAAAAAUUCUUUUUCUAAAUAUAAAAUAUACAUGUUUUCUAAACUUUAAAAAAUAUAUAUAAUUAUUUGGUAUUAUAAUAGCUCUUUAAUUUUUUUAAUAAUGAUUUUUUCAUACUGUGUUGUUUUACUUGUUUUUAUUUUAAGUUUUCCAUGAUCUUUUUCACAUGAAAUUAAUUGUCUCAAGUUAUUCGUCUACUAUUUUGUGAUUUGUUUUUAAUUUUUGGUUUACUAUCCUUUUCUUAACAGUUACAAAGUAAGUGUGUGUGUUGUAUAAAUGUAUUUUAUACAUAUAUUUAAUAAUCUUAUCAACGUAUAUAGUAUUUCUAAAUUUGAAUUUUAUGAAGUAAAAUUAUUGAUAAUCUAUGUCCUUAUAGCUAGAUAAUUUAAUAGAAUUAUAAAAUCAAUGAAAACUAAACUUUUGACUAACAAAGAAUUUAACAUAGAAUUAAAAAUUUAUUAAACCAUAACAAAUAAUUUUACUAAUAUUUUAAAAAUCCAUAAAACUAUCAAUGAAAUCUCAAUUUUUUUUUUAAAAAAAUAUCUUUUAAAAUUCAUCUACCAAUCUGAAAGUGUAUAUACGCUAACAAAUAGGCACUACAAAUUCAAACAGAGAGCAUUACAUUUUGACAUACUUUGGGUUGUGUUUUUUACACUUUGACAUACUUUAAACUUGUAGAGUACGUUGAGUAUAGAAGUUGUCUUCAGUCUAACCAAAAUAACCUUAAUGAAAUUCUGGAUACGAAGUCGACGUAGUUGUGUAUAUGAAAUCAAUGAAAUUGUGGAUGUGAACAUGGUUGAGGGAUGGUGAAAGGUUUUUUAGUUGUGGUGAAGAGUAGUAUGAUUAUGAAUAUGGGAGGGCAUGUCGCGGUGGAUAGGAGAUUUGAAAAAGAAAGAUAUGGAUGGAGGCAUGUGGUCAUGGAUAGCGGAUGAGAGAUGAUUAAGGUUUUAGUGGAUGUGGUCAAUAGUGGUGUAGACAGGUGAUGGGUGAAGGUUUUGUUGGUUAAGACUACUCGAUUUUGGGAUUCUGAACCACCAUAAAACACUCCAUGAUCCAUGACCGCUGAGCAUCAUCACCAUAUGACCCUCCAUGCCUCCAUGAUUGCUAACCACUUCUUUAACCACCACAACUUUCAUAUCCACAUUCACAAGCUCCACUUCCUUUAUUAGCUCCUCCACCAUCACCUCCUCCAUUCACUCCGACUUCUGAUCCACCUCCACGGCUCUACCUCCCGAUCUUCCUCCUCCAUUCAUCCCGACUUCUGAUCCACCUCCACGGCUCCACCUCCAGCUCUUCCUCCUUCACCACCACCAUAAGACCUUACCUCUACUGGCCCCACAGCAUGGCCACUAUAACAAUUAGGUGCUCCACCGUAACCACGUUUCCACCUUAUCCUCUCCACUAACAUCCCCACUUCCACCUUAUUCUUUUCUACUAGCGACCCUUAUCAGAUUGUAUGAAACAUCGGCGUGAAAACUGUAAUCGCUAUAGAGUAGAUGUGGCGGAUUAGGGUUUUAAGGAUCAAUGAAAAAAGAGAUUUUAGGCUAUAAAAUUUUUUUGGGAAAUUUACAAGCACAAAGUAUCUCACAUGCUGAAAGUAUGAGUGGAUGUAAAUCCCCUAUACAUUAUUUGAAAAGUAAUUUUGUCACAUGUCAUUUCUACAAUCAUUUUUACAAAAAUAAUAUGACAUAGCUACUAAAAUUAAUGACAUGGCUUAUAGCUUAAUAUAACAUGGACAAUUAUAUUUAAUGUUAAUUUAUAUUUUUGUUAAUUUUUUUAAAAUAUAGUAAUAACUCAUAUAUUACAUUUAAUGUCGAUUUAUAUAUUUGGAAAAAAAAUUAGAAUCCCUUAUAUACUAGAUCACAAGUCACUCGACCAAUUCUAUUUCACCACCUAAAUAAUUCUUUUUUUUUUCAAAAACAAAUAUUGAAAAGAAAAAAACAAUCGAAACAAACACUUUAUUUCUUCCCUCACUUCAGAAAAAAAAAAAAAAAGCAAACUUAUUGUAUCAGCAUCAACCAUUACGUACAUGCACAACCAUGAUCGCCACCACCUCCUCCAUUACAUCAACCUUAAAUGAAUAACUUCUACAAAAAUAAAAUUACUUCAAACUGUUUACUUCAUCCACGAAGUCACAGAAAUGAUUUCAUCUCUCCCAUUCUUUUGAUUUGGAAGCGACAACAUCAUAUCUUCUUUUCUUUUUUCUUCUCUUGAUAAAGACUAUUCUUCAAUCUAAUGGUUUUUGAAGUUAGGGAAACGAUAAAAAUUGUGUACAAAAUAAUUCUGCAAAAUAUUAAGCAAAACUUACAGAUGGUUUACAAAAAUUCACAAGUAUACAUUGGUAGGUGGUGCAUACGAGUUCGUAUUAUAGUUAUUUAGCAAAUGAUUUAGCAUUAAAGUUAUGUCUCAACAUUUAGUUAUUUGAUGUUGUACAGUUUUGAAUUCUUUUUAGUUUGUUUUGUAGAAGAACCGAUGUUACCACAUCUUCACACGGCCAUGACUUUCUUCCUCUGAACAAAGCUCUCGACUAAAAACGAAAGUCAAUAAGCAGACUAAUUAAAAGUGAAAUGAAGAGGUAUGAAUGUCAGAAAAAUCAAACUUAAUUACAAGAAGAUUCUCUGCUUAGAUUGAAGAAACAAAACGAGAUAUUCUAGAUUAAAGUCGACACAACUAAAGAAGAAUGGAAGAGAAGGAAGACUCUCAACUCACAUACCGCUCACGUUUUGAUAAAUAGGUCAGAUGCAACCUUUUAACCAUUCAAAGGAGCAUUAAACAAAACUUUGCCAAUGAAUUAUUUUUCUCUCUUUAAACAUCAAUAAAUGUAAAAAAAACAUUUUAUGCUUGAAAUUUCUUAAAUAUCAAAUUUGUACAACCUUUAAGUGACUAUUUUGAACAGUAUUUUAUGUAAUAAACUAGAGGUUGGCCCGCCCUACGGGCGGGUGAUUUUACACUAAAAUAAUUUUAUAUCAAAAUAAAUUUUUAUGUUAUAAAAUAUUUGAAAUUUUAUUUUUUACUGGAUAUAAUAAAUGUAAUCUCUUUUUAUUCUAAAAUUAUAUUUUAAAUUUUAUUAGAUUUUUUUGGUUUUGAAUUAAAAAGACCACUAACAAUUCUAUUUUGUCAGAAAACACAAAAUUAUUAAAUUAAAAAUUAAGGAAAAUAUAAUUUUUUAUAUUUUUAAUACCGCAACUGCAACCGCAACCACUGCGUUUGAACCAGUCAGGCCCUUACUUAGACUCGCGAGGAGCCAAUAUUACACUCGCACUUGUUUAAGUCAUAAUAAACACUCGUUAAAAAAAAAAAAAAAUCCUCGAAGCAAUGAGCCAGCUUUACUUUAAUUAAAAUGAAUCCCGUUUAAGUCAUAAUAAAUACUAUUAAAAAAGUUACAUGGCUGAAUUAAUGCAAAACUAUAUCCUCAUUACAGGAAAGAAUCAAAAGUUGACUAUUAAGCGUUCCUUUUCAAAGAUUACAACAUUAAGACUACUAGGUGACCGGUGCGGGCAUAAGAACAUGAUCGGUCCGCACCCUGUGUUCUCGGUCCGUACUUCAGGAGAGGGAACACAGUAACGCCAGUAUGAAGAGGCAGAUAUUGUGUGUAUGUAUAAUUGCAACGUCACAAAAUAUUUGGUGUGUUUACGAAGAUACUUUCAUUCAAAAAAUGGAAUAAAUAGUGUAUAGUUUUAGAAGUAACAAAUUUUAUAUUAUCAUUGAUUAGAAUUGUAUUGUAUAUGUUUCGUAAUUCUUUAUUUUAGGUGAAUAAUAUUAUUUUUCCAUAAAUAAUAAACAAACAUUUAUGUAGACAUAUUAAAAGAAAAUAUAAUAAAAAUCAAAAUAUUAUCCAUAAAUAAUAUAAAUUAUGAAGUACAUUUCUCGAUAAAGAAAGCAAAUUCAAUUAGAAACUUGCAAAAAAUUAAAUAAAUUUUGUAAGCAAUUUGACGGGUUAACAUUAUUUGAUAGAUUUAUAAAUUUCUAAAUUUUAUUGAACAUGAAAUAAUAUUAAAUUGACAUACCGUCAUCGAAAUAGUAGAAAUACUUGAUUCGUAAGCUGUGAAGGUAUACCGCGCAUCCGCAAAAUACUCCUCCGGAACUUCACUCGGAAAUUCAUCAGUUGUUCCAACAAAAUUUGUUUGAAAGAAGCCAAUUUUGUACGGAUGCGCGGUUGUGUGAUAAUCACCAAUAGCAUCGUACAAUUUGAAUAAGUGGACAACCUUUGCAUCGCCCUCGGUUAGUUUCCCUUCAAAUUGUUUGAUGAGCUAUUCACCAACUGAAGCAUGAAUUCUUGUCCCCUACAGAAGAUGAGAUAAAGUUAUAUGAGUUGGAUUGAGAACAAAAGACUAAAGACGAUUAUGAGUUGUAAAAAAUGUAGUAAUCUACUUACUUCUUUAUCAACGAAAACCAUUUCGAUGGUGUUUCCGGAAUCUUUGUUGUAAUUUCUCCACAAGUGAAGAAUCCUAACCUCAAUACGUCAUGUAUCUUUACAUGGUUUUAAUUGCCUGAUAAAAGACACUCGNNNNNNNNNNNNNNNNNNNNNNNNNNNNNNNNNNNNNNNNNNNNNNNNNNNNNNNNNNNNNNNNNNNNNNNNNNNNNNNNNNNNNNNNNNNNNNNNNNNNNNNNNNNNNNNNNNNNNNNNNNNNNNNNNNNNNNNNNNNNNNNNNNNNNNNNNNNNNNNNNNNNNNNNNNNNNNNNNNNNNNNNNNNNNNNNNNNNNNNNNNNNNNNNNNNNNNNNNNNNNNNNNNNNNNNNNNNNNNNNNNNNNNNNNNNNNNNNNNNNNNNNNNNNNNNNNNNNNNNNNNNNNNNNNNNNNNNNNNNNNNNNNNNNNNNNNNNNNNNNNNNNNNNNNNNNNNNNNNNNNNNNNNNNNNNNNNNNNNNNNNNNNNNNNNNNNNNNNNNNNNNNNNNNNNNNNNNNNNNNNNNNNNNNNNNNNNNNNNNNNNNNNNNNNNNNNNNNNNNNNNNNNNNNNNNNNNNNNNNNNNNNNNNNNNNNNNNNNNNNNNNNNNNNNNNNNNNNNNNNNNNNNNNNNNNNNNNNNNNNNNNNNNNNNNNNNNNNNNNNNNNNNNNNNNNNNNNNNNNNNNNNNNNNNNNNNNNNNNNNNNNNNNNNNNNNNNNNNNNNNNNNNNNNNNNNNNNNNNNNNNNNNNNNNNNNNNNNNNNNNNNNNNNNNNNNNNNNNNNNNNNNNNNNNNNNNNNNNNNNNNNNNNNNNNNNNNNNNNNNNNNNNNNNNNNNNNNNNNNNNNNNNNNNNNNNNNNNNNNNNNNNNNNNNNNNNNNNNNNNNNNNNNNNNNNNNNNNNNNNNNNNNNNNNNNNNNNNNNNNNNNNNNNNNNNNNNNNNNNNNNNNNNNNNNNNNNNNNNNNNNNNNNNNNNNNNNNNNNNNNNNNNNNNNNNNNNNNNNNNNNNNNNNNNNNNNNNNNNNNNNNNNNNNNNNNNNNNNNNNNNNNNNNNNNNNNNNNNNNNNNNNNNNNNNNNNNNNNNNNNNNNNNNNNNNNNNNNNNNNNNNNNNNNNNNNNNNNNNNNNNNNNNNNNNNNNNNNNNNNNNNNNNNNNNNNNNNNNNNNNNNNNNNNNNNNNNNNNNNNNNNNNNNNNNNNNNNNNNNNNNNNNNNNNNNNNNNNNNNNNNNNNNNNNNNNNNNNNNNNNNNNNNNNNNNNNNNNNNNNNNNNNNNNNNNNNNNNNNNNNNNNNNNNNNNNNNNNNNNNNNNNNNNNNNNNNNNNNNNNNNNNNNNNNNNNNNNNNNNNNNNNNNNNNNNNNNNNNNNNNNNNNNNNNNNNNNNNNNNNNNNNNNNNNNNNNNNNNNNNNNNNNNNNNNNNNNNNNNNNNNNNNNNNNNNNNNNNNNNNNNNNNNNNNNNNNNNNNNNNNNNNNNNNNNNNNNNNNNNNNNNNNNNNNNNNNNNNNNNNNNNNNNNNNNNNNNNNNNNNNNNNNNNNNNNNNNNNNNNNNNNNNNNNNNNNNNNNNNNNNNNNNNNNNNNNNNNNNNNNNNNNNNNNNNNNNNNNNNNNNNNNNNNNNNNNNNNNNNNNNNNNNNNNNNNNNNNNNNNNNNNNNNNNNNNNNNNNNNNNNNNNNNNNNNNNNNNNNNNNNNNNNNNNNNNNNNNNNNNNNNNNNNNNNNNNNNNNNNNNNNNNNNNNNNNNNNNNNNNNNNNNNNNNNNNNNNNNNNNNNNNNNNNNNNNNNNNNNNNNNNNNNNNNNNNNNNNNNNNNNNNNNNNNNNNNNNNNNNNNNNNNNNNNNNNNNNNNNNNNNNNNNNNNNNNNNNNNNNNNNNNNNNNNNNNNNNNNNNNNNNNNNNNNNNNNNNNNNNNNNNNNNNNNNNNNNNNNNNNNNNNNNNNNNNNNNNNNNNNNNNNNNNNNNNNNNNNNNNNNNNNNNNNNNNNNNNNNNNNNNNNNNNNNNNNNNNNNNNNNNNNNNNNNNNNNNNNNNNNNNNNNNNNNNNNNNNNNNNNNNNNNNNNNNNNNNNNNNNNNNNNNNNNNNNNNNNNNNNNNNNNNNNNNNNNNNNNNNNNNNNNNNNNNNNNNNNNNNNNNNNNNNNNNNNNNNNNNNNNNNNNNNNNNNNNNNNNNNNNNNNNNNNNNNNNNNNNNNNNNNNNNNNNNNNNNNNNNNNNNNNNNNNNNNNNNNNNNNNNNNNNNNNNNNNNNNNNNNNNNNNNNNNNNNNNNNNNNNNNNNNNNNNNNNNNNNNNNNNNNNNNNNNNNNNNNNNNNNNNNNNNNNNNNNNNNNNNNNNNNNNNNNNNNNNNNNNNNNNNNNNNNNNNNNNNNNNNNNNNNNNNNNNNNNNNNNNNNNNNNNNNNNNNNNNNNNNNNNNNNNNNNNNNNNNNNNNNNNNNNNNNNNNNNNNNNNNNNNNNNNNNNNNNNNNNNNNNNNNNNNNNNNNNNNNNNNNNNNNNNNNNNNNNNNNNNNNNNNNNNNNNNNNNNNNNNNNNNNNNNNNNNNNNNNNNNNNNNNNNNNNNNNNNNNNNNNNNNNNNNNNNNNNNNNNNNNNNNNNNNNNNNNNNNNNNNNNNNNNNNNNNNNNNNNNNNNNNNNNNNNNNNNNNNNNNNNNNNNNNNNNNNNNNNNNNNNNNNNNNNNNNNNNNNNNNNNNNNNNNNNNNNNNNNNNNNNNNNNNNNNNNNNNNNNNNNNNNNNNNNNNNNNNNNNNNNNNNNNNNNNNNNNNNNNNNNNNNNNNNNNNNNNNNNNNNNNNNNNNNNNNNNNNNNNNNNNNNNNNNNNNNNNNNNNNNNNNNNNNNNNNNNNNNNNNNNNNNNNNNNNNNNNNNNNNNNNNNNNNNNNNNNNNNNNNNNNNNNNNNNNNNNNNNNNNNNNNNNNNNCCGCUACCACCCGCAAACGCAGCUUUUGCGGUUGGUAGCGGUUGUCGGCGGUUUGCAACAAUCACUCAAAUCGCUCUAAACCGCUUCAAACCGCUCCGAAUCUCAUAAAUUCAAAAGCUGGCUCCAGCUAGCGUUUGCGGUUGCAGGCGGUUGCGGGAGGGUAAAAUUUUUUUCUUUUUUUAAAAAAAAUAUAUAUACAAAAGCAAAAAUAUUUAAUAAAAAAUUUAAAAUUUAAAUUAUGAAAAUAUUAAAAUAUAUCUAUUAUAUUUUAAUUAAUAUUAUAAAAUUUAAUAAUAAAAACAAUUUCAAAAAAUUUUCAAAAAAUUAAAAUUAUAACUUUCUAAAUAUAAAUUUUAUAUUUAUUAUAAUUUUAUGAUUUUUGAUAUUUUUAUAAUUAUAUUAAAUGUAAAUAUUGUUAAUUUAUUAUUUGACUGUUACCGCAUUUGGUAGUUAACCAGUCAUAAGUCACCCGCAAACGCACCAAUUUUUAACUGCAAUACCAGUCGUACAAAUCUCUUAAAAUCGCUAGAAACCGCAACCUCCCGCAUGCACAAACUCCCGCAACCGCAACCGCAACCACUGCGUUUGAACCAGUCAGGCUCUUAAUCAUUUCAAUUCUGAAAAACCGGUAUGACAGUUUUAUGAACUAACACCUUCAUAAACUAUUUUAAAAUACCAUAUUAGUUAAAUAAUAUAAGAUUUUACAAUGUAUAGUUUUUGAUAUUAAGAUAGGAAAAUAUUUUUUUCAAUAAUUUUGAAAAUUUUAAUUUCCAAAACUUGUGAAACUCAUUAAUACCUUGAAAAUAUAAGUUAAAUAUGGCUUUUUGUUGUUUGUUGCUGGCAAGUUUGCAAAAACCUGUUGACUGACAAUUUCGUAUUUUCUAGGUGGAAAUACAGUUCAAUCUCGUGAUCGUUUAUAAAUUUUUGCGUGGCAAUUUUCAAGACGAAUUUGAUGUGUUAAUCAAAUCAUACUUGUUUAAUGUUUAUGUUCUUCGUGUUUCUUAUCCUUUUCGAGUUGGUUUGAUUUAAUAAAGUUUCGUUUUCUCUCUUUUCUCCUCUAUGUUUCAAAUCAAAUCCCAUUUGAUACUCAAGAUAUGUUACUCUAGCUGGUUAUGCUCAGUCUUUAUUCUCGAGAUGGAAUCAAUCUUUGUAGUUAUCCUGACAUAUGCAAAGUCUCCAAAUCAGUUUAAGGAAUGAGCUGUUGGUUUUAUUUUCAUGGUUUUAUAUAGAUUCAGCAGAAAUUUUAUUUUAUAGGUUAUAAAUAUUAAAAGUAAUAAAUAAAACAUUAUUAGUCUUUCAAUAAUUUCGAGAAUAGUUUCCAUAAAUUGUUAUUUGUAAUAUUCGUUAGAUUAUAUGGCAAGUGAUGUUAAACGUCAAUAAGUUAAACAAUUCUUCCAUAUUUGGAAAACAUAUAUAUAUAUAUAUAACAAUGACAAAUUAAAUGGUAGAGUAUGUAAACACAUGUUUUCUACCAGCGUGAGUUAGAACACCGCCGUAUUUAAGAAUCAUAAGGGCCUCUACAGGUCUUUAUUCUUCGCCUUCACCAUCCCACUUCAGCGGCUUUAGUUGAACCUUCAUGUAUUUCCCUGAGAAAUUUCCUCUCUGCGCCAUUCCAAAAGGUUUUCUGCUGUGUGAAAAUGACCUCAUAAAUUAAAUAAAAAAUGCAUAAUGUUAGCUUACUUAUAAGAUAGUAUAUUCAACAAAAAAAAAUGAUAUAAGAUAAUAUUACUAAAUGAUACUAUGUAAUACUUUCCCGGACAAUAUUCAACAAAGAGAGAGAGAAAGUACUAAAGAACCUCUUCAAGAACUGCUUUAACUUGGCGAAGCUUCUCAGCAUGUUCAAUCAAGGUUUUCUGGAUCACUAUCACUCUCACGACCUGGUCUACAUAUAAAAAAAGGAAGACCAUAUUGUCGUUACCAGUAUUCAACACAUGGAAAAGAUAGACCAGACAUGCUUUUUGGAGACAAGACACAAAGAGUUGAGUUCAGGGUUCUAAAGAUGAGGAGCCUUUGCGUCUAAACACAUUUUUCUUAGCACACAAGCAGCAUUGUCGUAAUACCUUAAUAGUAUGAGAGGAGAGAUUUGUGAAUAAUACUUUAAAGAAUGAAAAGAGAAUGUUUGUAUUUUAAGACCUUGGGUGUCUCCUAUAUAUAUACAGUCGAUUUAUUCUCAUAUUAAUGAUUUUAAUAUUUUGCACAAUAAAUAAUAAAAUCGUUUAAAGAAAGAUAUUAAAUGUGUAUUGUCAAAAAAUGAUUUGCAUAUGAUAUGAUUUUAACUUGCGCAAGUAAUCCAUAUUAGAAAGGUAAGUUAUUAAAAACAAACAACCUAAUUAGAAACAUUAAAAUAUUUUGUAAGCAAUAUAAUAAAUAUGAUAUCAACAUGCGCAAGUUUACCGUUUGAAUAAUAAGGAAAGUUUUUAAUAUUUGUCUUAAUUCUAAAUCUUGCCCAAGGGUAAACUAAAUCGAUAAAAUUUAAUGAUUUCAACUUGCGCAAGUAAUCCAUAUUGUGAAUAAGUGAUUUGCAUAUUUAAUGAUUUCAACUUGCGCAAGUAAUCUAUAUUAGAAAGGUAAGUUAUUAAAAACAAAUUUUGUCAAUAAGUUAUUUGCAUAUUUAAUGAUUUCAACUUGCGCAAGUAAUCCAUAUUAGAAAGGUAAGUUAUUAAAAACAAACAACCUAAUUAGUAGGGGUGGGCACUUUACCCGAUAUCCGAAGUGGCACCCGAACCCGAUCCGAAAAACCCGAACCGAAAUCCGAACCGAAGUAGCAAAAUACCCGAACGGGUAUUGAAUAAGGAGAGAUUGGAUACCCGAACCCGAAUGGAUAUCCGAAGAUAACCGAACAUAUGUAUAAUUAACCUUAUAUUUCUAGUUUACAUCUCUCAUUUUAUAUAAAAUAUUUAUAUUGAUACUAUACAUACUUUAAGUUCAUAUGAUAUACAUACAAUUACGGAAAAAAUGAUUUGCUAUUCACUUAAAAUGCAUGUAAAGUUUUUUAUUUCAAAAAUUAACAAAAAGUUACAUCCAACAUUUAAAAAAAAUAACUAAAUUAAUGUCUUUUUAGUUUUAAAAUAUUAUGGCCAAAUCUAUUAACCAUUCAAUCUAUUAAAAAUAAAAAAAUUAGUUAAGUGAAAGUUAUAUUUUUAAAUAUAAGAAACUUGAGAAAUGAAAAUUUAAUUUUUUUUUUCAAAAUCUAAAUAUCCGAACCCGAUCCGAAAUAACCGAAUCCGAACUAAAAAUACCCGAACCCGACCCGAAGUACAGAAAUACCCGAACGGGUUCUACACCUCUAUACCGAAAUACCCGAAAAUCCGAAAUACCCGACCCGAACCCGAACGGGUACCCAAGGCUAAACUAAAUCGAUAAUUAUUAUCUCCUAGCUAUAUAUGGGCUUAACGAAAUCAACAAUAGUUUUGGGCUUGUCUACAUAAGUGAUUGAUUAAAAUAAAUGAAAAAGAAAAAUUCAAAAAAUCCAGCCAAUAGAAUUAUAACAUUUUUCCUGAGAAGCUCUAUAUGAGUGCCACCUCAGCAAAAAUCACUAAAGUGACUUCUCUUUUAAUGUAUAGGGGGAUUAAGCUGACUUGAAUCGUUUCUCUACUCUCAGAGUUGCUAUUUGCUAAUCUGGGGAAGUCGUCGUUUAGUAGCUGGAUUCUUUUCGCAAAUGAAAAAACAGAAAGAAACAAAACCAAGAUUAAAAAAAUAAUAGUAAUAGAUAAGAAAGACAAAAUAAAGUUCUCCUUUAUUAUCAGUACAGUCAAUGAGCGUUCUUUCCGCCAUAGAAAUUCUCUGAGGAAAAACCCAAUAGAGAUCCAACUUAUUACCAUGGAGACUCCUAUGGCUUCUCUUCAUUGUCUGUAUCCUCUGAUCUUCUUCUUCUGCAAAAUCUAUUUUAUAAACUUGUAUUUAUCAUAUGCUAUCAUCUUCAUAGUAAGACAUCGGUUAUCUUUGUUCUAUAUUCUUAAUGACAAUGAUUUAAUCCAAUUGAGUUCUGUAACGGUACCGGCUUUACAUCAGUGGUCAGAAGAGCAGCCGGCGAUUCGAAACAGACAGUUGCAUCCAACAGAGAUUUGCCGGGAUUAAUCAUCUCCCCGUCAUAACUUUCGUCUCCAUCACGGAUUCAAUAAGCAUCCUCUGGAACAGAAUGCCAUUUGUGAAUCAUAUCCACAGUUUCCGGAAUCUAUAUACUGGUCCACGCUGAAGCUACCUCCUCCUACGCCGGAAAUUUCUCAGAGAAAUCUGUUGCCGUAAAAUCCGACCAUUUAGAACGAUGAUCGAUUCAACGAUCAUGUUAUCGACUGGAUAUCCAAACCAUUUUCUUAGAUAUUGCCAUACCACCACAGCUUAAGUGACCGUCGCGAACACUCUUGAUUCUUCAUAGAGAGUGACCUUGGGGAUUUUGUUGCGAUAGGACUGAUCAUUGCAAGAGACGAACACAUUUACAGUCGAAGCUUGAGGAGGUUAUCUUGGCAGAUGCUAAUGCCUAUUUAAUUCCAGAGAGUGGGAGGAGUGGUAUAGAAUACGUAAUGAUGGUGAUAAAGACGCUAACUGAAGACGUUACAGAGAGAUGAAGGUCAGAGAUGGUGAAAUCUGAAAAGACACAGCGAUUCGCUCUGCAAAUCUGCCAGCAAAAGUGAUGCAAAUCCUAACUAAAGUUGGGCCUCCUAUGAAAAACAAUAAAAGCCCAUUUCAUUAAUCAUAUUAUUAAUUGUUAGCCCAAAUUAAAAUACACUUUGCGAGAAAGCUUAUUCGUAUGAUUAACAAAGGAAGACACGUGUCAAAGAAUGCCCCAUGCUGAAUAAUGACGUGGAGUGCUGAGGUGAGAGAAAACUCUAUUUUAUUAUUAUAGAUUAUAGAUAUCAUAGGCUGAACAUAUAAGACCAACUCCAACGAGGGAAUGGUAAGAGGUCCUUAACUUUUUUUUAAAAAUGAAAAAUCAACAAAACAAAGAGAGAGAAACACACAAAAAUCCUAAUCUUACAACUUUUUAGAACCUUUACCAACCUCCAAAGUACAUGUGUUAAUCAGACAUUGUUUCAAACGAUUGUAAAAAGCAAAAAUAAUUAUAAUAUUAAUUACAAUGCUGUCCUAAGCAUGUCUGGAUAGGCUUGAGGCCAUUUUGAAUUUGGUAAAAUAAAAUAAGUAAUCAGCUAAAUAUGUUUACUUUUUUUUGUCGACAAGUAAAUAUAUUCACAUAUAAAAAUUAUUAGCAUACUAUCUCAAAUUUUGGUCAAACAAGUAUAAUAUCUAAAUUAUGCAAUAUUUAUUUUACUAUAUUUCACUAAUAAAUAUAGUAAAAUGUCAUGUAUCAUCAAUUACGUUUUUUUAUAAUUAUUCAGAUUUCUCUGUAUGUAAAAUUAAUAUAUUUUCUGGUCACAACACUUUUAAGUUGAACUAAAAAGAAGAGGCUUUGUUAUUUAUGAAGAACAAAAAUAACAUUUUCAAAUUUAUUUAAAACAAUGAAAGAAUACCCGUGCUUAGCACGGGAGAAACAUACUAGUACGGUAAUAACUCAUCAAUCAUCAUUAAAAUAAAUAUAUAAAAAUAUGGCAUUACAAACUUUGAAAUAUCAUUUAAUUAUAUAUUUUGAAUUAUACAAUUUUACUACUAAAAUUUUCAAAAAUGUAUAUAUAUUUUUUUGAAAAUUACAAAAAUUUAAUCGUAAAAUCAUUAGUUUCUUAUAUAUCUAUAAAUUUUAUAAAUAUUGUUUAGUUUUAAUUUUUGAUAAUUAUGCAGGUUUUUACAAAUAUAUUUAAUUAAAAUAAAUAUAUAUAAAAAUCUAUCUAAGCUUAUAAUUUUAAAUAUAUACAUGCAUAUUCUUAAAUAUAAUUUAAAAUAAACAAAAUAAUUUUUAUCUUAAUUUUUAUGUUUAAUUAAAUCAAAUUUAUAUUAAAAUGCAGACAACAUACUUUCAUGGCUGAAAUGUUUGCGAAUUUCGAUUGUGAUAUUUUAAAUAUAAUUUAUAUUUAUCUGUUAAAAUUUUUUUAAAUUUUUUUCUCCACAUGGUGCAGGAAAACACCUAGUAUGUGAGUAAAAAGCUUGUCAUGUAAUAUUUUCAUGGAAAAUUGUCACAAAUGACACAUUUAUAGUACUACUUUUCAUAUUUAUACUAAUCACUUUUACCAUCAAUUUUAAUGAAGGAUAAAAGAUACUUAUACCCUUAGGGUUAACUAAUAUAGACUUAGGUUUAGAGUCGAGGUGUGGGGUAGGAUUUCUGGAAUGUGAAAAUUAAGAUUAUAAUAAAUAUAUAAAUAAGUACUUAAAAAAUAUUUAAAAAAAUUUCAAAAAUAGUUUCAAACAUAAUUUUCGAUUUUCAAAAAGAAAUUUUGAAAAAAAAUCAAAAAAAUAAUUAUAAAAAUGUUCGAAUUUGAAAAAGUAUAAUUCGAAAACAUUAUUUUUUUAAUUCUUUUAUUUAUUUAAAUAAUGAUUUAUUAUAUAUAUAUAACAAAUGUAUAAAAACCUUUUGUCACUUAACUAAGAAUGUAAUUUUAAAAAUGUCUUUUUAGUAGUGGUAAAAACUAUAAGUGGUAUAAAGAAAGCUGUAAACCUAAAAUCGCCCUAUUUUCAUACAGAUGAGACAGAUAUUUGACAUAAAGUUUAUGGGCCUCAGAAACUAGAUCUCGUAACAAAGUGUGGCCCAACUCUCGGCCCAUCUCAAAGCUUCCGCUUUCACAACCUUCUCUUCGAUCAUCUCUCAGAGGACACGUCCGAUGCUUCUCCGAUCUCCAGAAUCGUCCCACUCGACAUAGCCAUUUGCAAGCAGAUCCACCGUCGCCGCGUUUCUGGCGAAUAAGGAGUAACAAGGAUCUGAUCUCAAUUGAGUUUUCGUGGCUAAGCUCCCACUCUACCGCAUCGGCUCGAUCCUUCACCAUACACUGAGAGCUUCUACACAUACGCCAUUGAACCCAAAGAAACACUUCAAAGAGUAGAAUCUGGAUCUCUUUCUCCGAUCCCGAUCUCUCCAGUACAUUUGGUCUCGUUAGAUAGGUAGGCUGAGUCUCUCGAUCCUCUUCCUCCUUCCCUUUAAGUUUCAAACUGUUCUACGUAUUAGCUCUUAAGUUUUAAUAGGUAGUUUUGCUGACUUGCGAUUCAAUGAGAUCUGAAUUGUAUGGUUUUGAAUUUGCAGCUCUACAUGCUUCGUGUGUGUAUUGGUGUUUGAGGACGAGUUAUGGGGUAUCAGAAUCACCAUCCAUCGGGAAGCAGCAACUCGUUCCAUGGAGGAGAGUUCAACAAACCGUCCAAAGUUGCUGUGGCGUCUAUGAUCAACUCCGAGAUCGGCGCAGUUUUGGCUGUGAUGAGGAGGAACGUGCGUUGGGGUGUCCGCUACAUUGCGGAUGAUGAUCAGUUGGAGCAUUCCCUUAUCCAUUCUUUGAAAGAAUUGCGUAAGCAGAUAUUCUCAUGGCAGAGCAAUUGGCAAAACGUUGACCCCAAGCUGUACAUACAGCCGUUUCUGGAUGUUAUACUCUCUGAUGAAACCGGGGCUCCCAUCACCGGCGUUGCUUUGUCCUCUGUCUACAAGAUCUUGACCCUUGAUGUUUUCACGCUUGACACCGUGAAUGUGGGAGAGGCGAUGCAUAUCAUAGUGGAUGCUGUGAAAAGCUGCCGUUUUGAGGUGACUGAUCCUGCCUCCGAGGAAGUGGUUUUGAUGAAGAUACUUCAGGUUCUUCUGGCUUGUAUAAAGUGUAAGGCGGCUAGUGGGUUGAGUAAUCAGGAUAUUUGCACCAUCGUCAACACUUGUUUGCGUGUUGUUCAUCAGUCUAGCUCCAAAAGUGAGUUGUUGCAGCGUAUAGCACGCCACACGAUGCAUGAGUUGGUUAGAUGCAUCUUCUCUCAGCUUCCUUGUAUCGGCCCGCUGGCUAAUGAAAGCGAAUUACCCGUCGGCGAUAAGGUGAUUCAAUUUGACCUUCCUUGCUAGAAUUUUUAUAUGUUUGUUCUAUAGAUAGAAUAUUUAACAUGUUUCAGUGACGCCAAAAGUCAUAUCGUAUUAUGAUUUAUCUGCUAUGCGUAUUGAUUGAUUGAAGAUGCCUCAUGACUAAGUUUAAUGGUGAAUUGGGUUGACCAUCUGUUUGUUUUCCACAAAUUUCUCACGGUAUUCUUUCUUGUCUAGGUGGGAACAGUGGAUUGGGAUCAGAAUUCUGGAGAAAACACAGUUGAAAAUGGAAGUAUUGAUACUCUCGGCGUUGAGAAAGAUUCUCCAAGUUCUGAGAUGGUUAUUCCAGAAACAGUAGUCAAAAAAGAUGAAAAGGGAGCUGAGGUCAGUGAUGACUUAAAUGUUGCUGCGAAUGGUGAAAAUGCAAUGUUGGCGCCUUUUGGUAUUCCAUGCAUGGUAGAGAUUUUUCAUUUCCUGUGUACUCUGUUGAAUAUUGGAGAAAACAGUGAAGUCAAUUCCAGAUCUAACCCUAUAGCAUUUGAUGAAGACGUUCCUCUUUUCGCUCUGGGUUUAAUUAAUUCUGCUAUAGAACUUGGAGGCUCUUCUUUCCGUGAGCACCCAAAAUUGUUGAGUUUGAUUCAGGAUGAGUUAUUCUGUAACUUGAUGCAGUUUGGUAUGUCGAUGAGCCCUCUGAUUCUUUCUACAGUUUGCAGCAUCGUUCUUAAUCUCUACCUGACUCUCCGUACUGAACUUAAGGUACAGCUUGAAGCUUUCUUCUCAUGCGUACUUCUGAGGAUUGCACAGAGCAAGCAUGGCUCUUCUUACCAGCAACAGGAGGUUGCUAUGGAAGCUCUGGUUGAUUUUUGCAGACAGCAUACUUUCAUGGCUGAAAUGUUUGCGAAUUUCGAUUGUGAUAUAACAUGCAGUAAUGUGUUCGAAGAUGUUUCAAAUUUGCUAUCAAAGAGUGCCUUCCCAGUUAACGGGCCUUUAUCUGCUAUGCACAUAAUUGCAUUGGAUGGGUUAAUCUCCAUGGUUCAGGGAAUGGCUGAAAGGGUUGGUGAGGAAUUGCCGGGUUCAAAUGUUUCGACACAUGAAGAAGGAUACGAAGCAUUUUGGACAGUGAGAUGUGAGAACUACGGAGAUCCUAAUUUAUGGGUUCCCUUUGUCCGAAAGUCAAAGCACAUCAAGAAAAAGCUGAUGGUUGGUGCUGAUCAUUUUAACAGUGAUCCUAAAAAAGGUCUGCAGCAACUCCAAGCGAUGCACUUGUUACCUGAAGAACUUGAUCCAAAGAGUGUGGCAUGUUUCUUCAGGUAUACAUGUGGGAUAGAUAAGAACCUUAUAGGAGAUUUCUUGGGAAAUCAUGACCAGUUCUGUGUUCAGGUUCUUCAUGAGUUUGCCAAGACGUUUGACUUCCAGAAUAUGAAUCUUGAUAACGCCCUGCGUCUCUUUGUGGGGACAUUUAGAUUGCCUGGCGAGUCGCAGAAGAUACAGAGGGUGCUUGAAGCGUUUUCUGAGAGAUACUAUGAGCAGUCACCACAGAUAUUGAUUGAUAAAGACGCUGCCCUCUUGUUAUCUUAUUCGAUUAUCUUGCUGAACACAGAUCACCACAACACUCAGGUCAAGAAAAAGAUGACUGAAGAAGAUUUCAUCCGUAACAACAGGUGCAUAAAUGGAGGCGCAGAUCUUCCCAGGGAAUACUUAUCUGAGCUUUAUCAUUCAAUCUGCGACAGUGAGAUUCAGAUGAUCCCAGAUCAAGGAACCGGUUUCCAAAUGAUGACCUCCAGUCGGUGGAUUAGUGUGAUUUACAAGUCCAAAGAAACCAGUCCCUAUAUCAUAUGUGACAGCGCAUCGUAUCUGGACCGUGACAUGUUUCAUAUCGUGUCCGGUCCCACUAUUGCUGCUACAUCUGUGGUUUUUGAGCAAGCAGAGCAAGAAGAUGUUCUGCAGAGAUGUGUUGAUGGGUUAUUGGCCAUUGCAAAACUUUCAGCGUAUUACCAUUUGAAUAGUGUAUUGGAUGAUCUGGUCGUGUCUCUCUGCAAAUUCACGCCAUUCUUCGCGUCGUUAUCUGUUGAUGAAGCUGUUCUUGCUAUAGGAGAAGAUGCCAGAGCAAGAAUGGCUACUGAAAGUGUGUUCUUGAUCGCAAACAAAUACGGCGACUAUAUCACUUCGGGAUGGAAAAACGUACUGGAAUGUGUCUUGAGCCUCCACAAACUCCAGAUUUUACCAGCUCAUAUAGCUAGUGAUGCUGCGGAUGACCCAGAGGAAGAAAGACCUUUAGCAAAUCCCUUAUCAGUAGUAUCACAGGUACAACCCUCAGAGACCCCUCGAAAAUCCUCUAGUUUUAUCGGUCGGUUUAGCCAGCUUUUGUCCUUUGACAUGGAGGAGACGAAGCCAUUAUUACCUACCGAGGAAGAACUUGCAGCCUAUAAGCACGCUCGUGGUAUAGUGAAAGAUUGUCAUAUUGAUAGCAUAUUCUCAGACAGCACGUUUCUCCAAGCCGAGUCCCUGCAACAGCUAGUAAACUCUCUCAUAAAGGCAGCCGCGAAAGAUAAAGAUAGUGCUGUCUUUUGCCUGGAGCUUUUAAUUGCAGUAACUCUAAACAACCGAGACAGAAUCCUACUGAUCUGGCAAACUGUUUACGAGCACAUCUCGGGUAUAGUUCAAUCAACGACGACACCAUGCCCGCUUGUGGAAAAGGCUGUGUUUGGUGUGUUGAAGAUUUGUCAGAGAUUAUUGCCUUACAAGGAGAAUCUAACAGAUGAGCUUCUGAAAUUACUCCAACUGGUUCUCAAACUUGAUGCAAGAGUGGCUGAUGCAUACUGUGAGCCCAUAACGCAAGAAGUAGCCCGUCUUGUAAAAGCGAAUGCAUCUCACGUCAGAUCUCAUGUUGGUUGGAGAACAAUCAUAUCUCUGAUAUCAAUCACAGCUCGACAUCCAGAAGCUUCUGAUGCUGGAUUCGAAGCUCUCCGGUUUAUAAUGUCAGAAGGAGCUCACUUGUUGCUAGCAAACUACAUUCUUUGUUCGGAUGCAGCUAGGCAGUUUGCUGAAUCCCGUGUCGGGGAAAUCGAUCGGUCUAUCUCAGCCAUCGACUUAAUGUCAAACUCUGUGUUCUGUCUUGCUAGGUGGUCUCAAGAGGCGAAAAACUCGGUGGGAGAAGAUGAAGCUAUGAGGAAACUAAGUCAAGACGUCGGAGAGAUGUGGCUCAGGCUUGUGAACAACCUCAAAAGGGUUUGUCUUGAUCAACGCGACCAAGUGAGAAACCACGCCAUCUCAAUGCUACAGAGAUCAAUAGCCGGUGCAGACGGAAUCAUGUUACCACAACCAAUAUGGUUCCAAUGCUUCGACGCCGCAAUCUUCCCGUUGCUAGACGAACUGCUCGCUGUUUCGAUCGAGAAUUCAAGAAAGACAUUCAAGAAAACAGUUGAAGAAACGCUUGUGCUCGCCACAAAGCUCAUGUCAAAGGCCUUUCUUCAAGCUCUCCAAGACAUCUCGCAGCAACCAUCGUUCUGCAGACUCUGGCUUGGUGUAUUGGACCGUAUGGAGACUUACAUGUCGACCAAGUUCAGAGGGAAACGCAGCGAGAAAGUCCAUGAACUCAUACCGGAACUGCUGAAGAACACGUUGCUGGUGAUGAAGACGACGGGUGUUUUACUACCAGGUGAUGAUAUUGGAAGUGAUAGUUUCUGGCAACUGACUUGGCUUCAUGUCAAGAAGAUAUCUCCUUCUCUGCAAUCUGAAGUGUUCCCUCAAGAGGAGCUUGAUCAGUUUCAGAGACGAAACGCUAAGCCUGAGGAUACUCCGGUGGUACCGGAAAACUAAGACUCAGAACGGUGGUGGUGGAGUAGUAAGGAUUUGUUUUUAUACAGAAAAGCAUUAUUGAGAAGUUUUUUUUAGAAACUAUAUCGAAAUAUUAUAUCUUUGCAGUAUAGCCUUUUGUUUGAAUAUAGUACUUUUGAGCUUUUGGAUUUUUAUGGAAUGUCACGUUGGAGUUAUGGCUUUGAUUGGAGAUUUGCUUGGAGGCGAUUCAGGAAAGCGUUGUCACAAGUUGCACAAAUCGGCUUUUGAGUUUACCAAUAGAACGGACAGAUAAAAUGAACAGUUGAACUGAGUGAGCUUUUCAGGGUGCCGCCAACCCAUUCAUGUAUUUUUCAUUCUGAAACAGAAUAAUGUCAAAAUAGGGUUGAGCUUUUCUAAAAAAUUAUUACUUUACCUUUAUUUCUAAAUACAAAUUAAAAUAUUCUCAUUAAAUUAGUUUUUUAAAAAAUAAUUUUAUUUUAUUCUAAUGGAAAAAUUACAAAAGUAUAAUAUUUUUAAUGAAAAUUACAGUAAUCAACUUUACUAAACAAAAACAAAGAUAGGAUAAUGUUAAAGAUAUGCAUGUCAAAUUCAAAGACAAUAAUUUUAUAUAGCUUCACAAAUUAGAGUUGUUUAUAUUAUAGUUGUAUAUUCACUUCAAUUUGGAUAUUAUCAUGUGUAAGUAGUAGGAUAAAUUUUCCACUACAAGCUACCUACCACAAUUACAAAAGCUUAAUAAUUUUCAAUUAUUUAAAAAAGCACAUAGAUUAUAGAAAAUUUGGAAUCUCCUCACAAAUAUUUUCUUGAACAUACCUCUGUCUCUCUAUCUUAAUAUAUUCUCAUAGAUCAUUUGAGUCCAAAUUUUGGAUCUUGCAAUUUAAAAAUUAAUUAUUAUUUUCUUUGUUUUUAAAAAAUUUACUGUUUCAUUUCUUAUAAGUUAUUUAUAUAAUAUCACCAUUAUAUUUCAACAUAAUAAAAACUCGUGGUUCCAUAUUUUCGCCGGAAACCAACUAGCGCAAUGGACCAACUAGGGGUGGGCGUUCGGGUAUCCGGGUUCGGAUCGGAUAUUUCGGUAUAGAGGUGUAGAACGUCAGAGUAUUUCUGUACUUCGGGUCGGGUUCGGAUAUUUUUAGUUUGGGUUCAGUUAUUGCAGAUCGGUUUCCGAUAUUUAGAUUUUGAAAAAAACAAAAUUAAAUUUUCAUUUCUCAAAUUUCUUGUAUUUAAAAAUAUAACUUUCACUUAACUAAUUUUUUAUUUUUAAUAAAUUGAAUGGUUAAUAGAUUUGGACAUAACAAUUUGAAACUAAAAAAACAUUAAUUUGGUAUUGUUUUUAAAUUUUGGAUGUAACUUUUUGUUAAUUUUUGAAAUAAAAAAUUUGACAUGCAUUUUAAGUGAGUAGCAAAACUUUUUCUCCGUAAUUUUAUGUAUGUCAUAUGAAUUUAAAAUAUGUGUAGUAUCAAUAUAAAUAUUUUAUAUAAAAUGAGAGAUGUAAACUAGAUUCAGAUUUCAGUUCGGGUUUCGGUUCAGAUUUUGGUUCGGGUUUUUCGGAUUGGAUUGGGUUCGGAUGUCACUUCAGAUAUUGAAUAAAGUGUCCACCCUUGACCAACACAACAUUGGUGGUUAAAACUCAUAGUUUACCAAAAAAAUAAUCAAAACUCGUUUAGAUGCUUUGUAUUUAGCUAAUUGUUUUAAAACUCAGUUUUUCUAACCACCAUAAACUAUUCAAACUAUUUUAACAACUUUUCUAAAAAAAGACUAUAAAAUUAUUAUUAAUUUUGUUAAAAAAUUUUAAUCUACUAGUUGAUCAAUGAUUCAUAAAAAAAUUUAAAUUUUGAUUUCAAGAUUUAUAGAAAUUAACGGAUUUAAAAAAUUAAAUAAAAAUCAUAUAAAUAGUUUCAUCUAAGUUUAAAAUAUUGAAAAAUCAGUUUAAAAAAAAAAGAAAACAUAAAAGAAAAGAAAAGAUGUAGAGAAACGACGGGUGCCUGCUGGUGUAGGAUAGAAACAGUGUAUGUGGAUGUAGCUUAUAACUACCCAAUCCCGUUGAACAUAUUUCCUCCGACCAGACCAUCCCCAGAAUAAUAAUAAUAAUAAAAUUCAACGGAGGCCGCCUUCCCUUCACCGGAUCACCUUCCUUCCUUUGGAUCUAUCUUCCCAUUCCGACGGUUCUUCGUUUCUCAGGUCUCCUCUUCCUUUCUCAUCUAUUCCCUUUUUAAAUCCUUUUUUAUUUUUUGCUUUAAUCGCUUGUUUCAUGGGCGAUCACUUUUCUCUCUUGCGAUCGGUGAAUUUUGAUUCUUCUGUCUACCCAUAAACCUCGUGUUGACAUGUGUUUCGCGAUCUAACAAUAUAUAUUAUUAGUGUUUACGGAUUGUUUUAGACAUCAAUCAUCGAUCCUCUCGCUGAGGAAAAUUGCAGUUCCUAGUCUUGCGAACUGUUGAUUUGUUCCUAAUUUGGGGGUUACUGAUCCUAGAGGAAUUGGAUUUCAUUAAUCUAUUUGAUUCAUCAUCAUCAUUAUGUGUUGCGUGCAGAGUAUCAAUAAUCAAUCUACCUUGGAACAAUGAGUGAGGUGUUUAACGGAUACGAGCGCCAAUACUGCGACCUCUCGGCCAACCUCUCCAAGAAAUGCUCCUCUGCUAUUGCCCUUGACGGAGGUAAGUAAUUCCAUAUCAUCUCUUGCUCCUCAUCCACUGCCCCUAACUUCCUUCCUCUUUUAUGAGUUACUACAAGCCUUUCUCUGCUUUCCAGGGCCGGCCCUAGGCCAUGCUAGGUGAAACAUUCGCAACAGGCCCCUAAAAUUUUUGAAAAAAAUUACAUACAAAUAAGCCCCAAAACAAAAUUUCAUACAGCAGGGUCAGACCUCCAGAAUCUCAGGUCUGGCCCUGCUGCUUCCCUUUGAAAGCUGAUGAUACCUUUACUGAUUGAAUUGCAGAACAAAAGAAGCAGAAGCUCUCUGAGAUAAGAUCUGGCCUCGAUAAUGCUGAAGCAUUGGUAUGUGUGACUCUGGAAUAUAGCAGUUUUUUCUUUAUUGUCCCUUUUAACAUUUUUUCUUAUUCACCAGAUUAGGAAAAUGGAUGUUGAGGCGAGGAGCCUUCCACCGAGCAUUAGGACCAGCCUCCUUGUUAAACUAAGAGAGUUCAAGUCCGAUCUCAACAACUUCAAAAGCGAAGUCAAGAGGAUCACAUCUGCUAACUUGAAUGCUGCUGCUCGCGACGAGCUGCUUGAAGCUGGUCUGGCUGACACAAAGACGGUAUGUAAAGAGAACUCACUAGUAUCUUUUUUGACAUCUUUUGAUUGAUCUAUGACAUUUGAGGGCAGGCUUCGGCUGAUCAAAGAGCGAGAUUGAUGAUGUCAACCGAUCGAUUGGGUCGAACCACUGACAGAAUCAAGGACAGUCGAAGAAUGAUGAUUGAGACUGAAGAGCUUGGAGUUUCUGUCCUACAAGACUUGCACAGUCAGAGACAGUCUCUCCUUCGCACUGGCGACACGGUAUGUACUCUCUUCUUCAGCACGAUUUUAUCAUGAAGAAGACUACGUUUUAUUUAUAUACUACUUGUGAUUGGUGUCUCUUUUAACCAAAAGUUAGAACUCUGAAACAUGCAGCUUAGUGGAGUAGACGAAAAUGUCGGAAAGAGCAAGAAGAUCUUGACGGGCAUGACCAGGGGGAUGAACAGGAACAAAUGGACCAUUGGAGCCAUUAUCACCGCUCUGGUCGCGGCUAUUAUCCUCAUCUUGUACUUCAAACUCACCAAGUAAUCCCUCUGUAUCUAAACUCUUUGUCGCUGAACAAAUGGUGUGUAUCUUUUAUUUAAUCCUUUUCUGGCUUUCUGUGUGAUAAGUUAUGUCUUUGCCACCUUUUGUAUUAUCACGUUCUCUUGUUUGCGUUUGCGAUUACAUUUGUGUAUUUUAAUACUGAAUGAUGCAAAUUGUUUUGUUUUAUUAUUACUAAACGCAAGCGUAAAUUACAUUUCAAACAAUUAGAGCCUAAGCCUUGAGAUUGAGAACUAGUUGUGUGUUUUUCUUUCAUUCUUGAACCUGUUAUAAUCAGCGAGCAAGCUCUCAAUAACCUUAUGUUUCAUGCUAUCCACCAAACCAGUCAAAAUCUGUAGAAACCAAAUCACAACCAAACAUUAUUUACAAAGCUGAAAUAGUGGAAAAUAUCGUUUUCGAGUUCUCAAACGCAUAUAAGAAACCGUUUCUAACCGCAUUGGCCACGCUUCUCUUAACAUCUUCGGGUACAAACGCAAGAACCGAAGGAAGGACGAAGCUUACGUUCAUCUCUAAUUGACCUUUGAGCCUUGUGUGGCUUCCGCCUCGGUCUGGGUACAAUGCUCCUUGAACUCCCAGAGUGAAAUCAGACUGUUCCAUGACCUGGCCAAGCCCUUGAAGCUCCCAUUUCAUCUGAAGGUAAACCGUUAAAAGGGAACAAAAGAGUGAGAAUCGUCAAGGGUUGUGUCUGUUUCUAUUACCAUGUUAAGCUCAAGAACUCUGGUUAUGUCUAGAGGUACAUCAGGCGGGUAAUCUUGACCGUUGGAUUUGCAUCUAAUUCGCAUGUCCACCACUGGCCUUGCAGUGAGGAAGAGGAAAUUUAUAGGUGACAUAUGAAUUCUCCAUUCUUCCUGCACAAAUAAAAUAUUGUUAGAUACCGAAUGCAUUCCCACUUACAUAAAAAGUAACACAUAUUAGCUACCUCGUUAAGCCUAUAGCUUCUAGGUUUAUCAGGAAACAUUGCUUUGAAAACCCUACACUUAUCCUCCAAAUACUCAUCGAACAACGCCUGAACUUUCCCGAAACGCGUCAAACACAUACACUGUUGUACAGUGAUGCAUAUAUAUAACUCAUUAUAGGAAAUGAGAGUGAGAAUGAGACCUGAGGAGACUCGUGCAAUUGAACAUCGGUAGAGAAUUUAGAUGAAUACUUGGAGGCUUUUACAGUUGACAACUGGCACUUGGCUCCUGGCCGUAAUGUUCUCAUCUCCGCCGCUGUAGACCUGAUUCUUCCCAGCAUUGUCGGACACGACAAAACUGUUGAGCUGACAGCCAUGUUAGUAGUCUCUCUCUAGGUUUUCAAGAUUGGAUGAUGUUUGAUCUUUCCCACAUGUUUGAAAGAUAAGGGGAUAUGUGUCUUUCGGCCUUGUAUGUAGACGUGGUAUAUCGAGGGACUAUCCACCUCAUCAACAUUUUGAAUUCUUGGCCCUCUUUGAUUUACUCCUUUAUUCACGUUUUUCUCACUAUUAAGAAGAAGACAAUCUUGUUGAACAAAUAAUUAAAAAAAAGAAGACAAUCUCUUUCUCUCUAUACUCUUUCAGUCUUUCUUCGGUUCUCUGUUAUGAAAACAGUCUCCUUUCUUUCGGCUAAAUCAGGUCAAUAACAGAAAAUUGUGUGUUUUUUUUACAGUGUUCUAAAAAUUGGUUUAGAUGACACAUUAAAAAAAGUCUAACCAUACAUUUAAUCAACAAUCUUCGUAAAAAGUAUAACUACCGCCUAACGAUUUUUUGCAUUGUUUUUCUCUCAAAAUAUUACAAUUGACAGAUUUAAUAUUCAAAUAUUAUAGUUACUCCAUAACUAAUAGCUCGACGGCAUAAAAUUGACAUGAUAUAGUCAAUAGUUUCGUCUAUUUUUAACAGUUGACUAUUAUAAUCCUAAUUUUUUUAAUUAUAAUCCUAGUUUUAUGGUGUAUAUAUAUACUAGUUGAUACAAGUUGUUUUGUUUAAUAUAAACGUAUACGCCAAACAUGGCGCAUAAAUUACAUUCAAACCAUUAAAGCUUUAGCCUUGAGAUUAAAAACUAAUGAUGUGUUCUUCUUUCAUUCUUAAACCUAUUAUAAUCAUCGAGCAAGCUCUCAAUAACCUUAUGCUUCAUAUUAUCCACCAAACCAUUUAAAACCUGCAGAAAGCAAAUAAAAACAUAAGAUAAUAUAUAAAUUUGGAAUAUAGUGUUUUGAAUUUGCAAAUGCAUUUAUUUCUAACCGCAUUGGCAACGUUUCUCCUAACAUCCUCUGGUACAAGCAUGAGAACCGUAGGAAGCACGAAGCUAACGUUCAUCUCUAGUCGACCUUUGAGCCUUGUGUGCCUUCCGCCUCGGUCUGGGUACAAUGCUCCUUGAACUCCAAGGGUGAAAUCAGAUGGCUCCAUGACCCGGUCAAGCCCUUGAAGCUCCCAUUUCAUCUGAAAAUAAACCGUUCAAAGAGAACAAAAGAGUGAGGUAUUUAGACUUUUUAGUACUUCCUCCAUUCAACGAAGAUAUAAAUCUUGGAUAUUUCACACAAUUUAAAUAUAAAUUUACAAUUCUAAAAUAUUUUUUUAAUACCAUAAUUUAAAAAAAAUCAAUUUAUUUCAACAGUAUUGUCUUAAUCAAUAUGAUCAGUAAAUAAAGGUAAACAAUUAUUCAUAAAACUUUUCUCUUUCUGAAACAAUUAAAAAUGUCAAAACUUGUAUUUUUGUGGAAAGGAGUGAGUACCAUGUUAAGCUCAAGGACUUUGGUUAUGUCUAGAGGUACAUCAGGCGGGUAAUCCUGACCGGUGGAUUUGCAUCGGAUCCGCAUGACCACCACUGGCCACGCAGUGAGGAAGAGAAAUUUUAUUGGCAACAUUUGGAUUCUCCAUUCUUCCUGCACAAGUAAAUCAUGUCGGUCUUUUCGUUAGAGUAACCAAAGAAUGCAACCCAGAGCCGUGCCUGACUAGAGGCUGAUCAAGCACUUGCUUGAGGCCAAAACGUAGAUAAAUAGUUUUAUGGGCCAAUUUCUUGGCAAGAGUUGUCUACAGAACAGUUGGUAAUAGUCUGUAUUAUUACUCUAGGGUCCCGGGUUCAAUCACGAGUAUAGCAGUUUGACCUUUUUUCCAAAAAAUUUAUAGUUUAUGGGGCAAAUUUUUUUUAGUGCUUUAGGACCCACAAUAUUCAGGCAUGGCCCUGAAUUGCAACCCCACACUUAUAAAAAUGGAACAUGGAUGUUACCUCGUUAAGCCUAUAGCUUUUGGGUUUAUCAGGAAACAUUGCUUUGAAAACCCUCGACUUAUCCUCCAAAUACUCAUCGAACAACGCCUGAAGUUUCAAAGCAUUACAACACAAACAGUUUUACACUGAUGCAUACAUAUAUAACAUUAUAGAGAUUGAAAGUGAGAAAGAGAUACCAGAGGAGACUCGUGCAGUUGAACAUCGGUAGUUAUUUUAGAUGAAUAUUUGGAGGGUUUUACGGGUGACAACUGACACUUAACUCCCCACCGUAUUGUUCUCAUCUCCACCGCCACCGACCGGCGUCUUCCGAACAUCUUCGGGCAUGACAAAACCAUUGAGCUUACAGCCAUUUUACCAGUCUUUCUCUCUCUUUUUUGGUCUUCAAGAUUGGAUGAUAUUUGAUCUUUCCCACUUUUCUCUCUCUCUAUAUUUAUAUAUAUCUUCAGAGGAAAGAUUGCGUCUUUGCUUCUCUUUAAUACGUUUAGAGACCUUUGUUAAAGAAAAUAGAGACAGAGAGUAACAUUCUCACGGUACGCAUUUGGAAGAUAGUGGAUUUCGAGAAAUAAUUGUUGAAACAUUGCUUUUCAACCUCUAUAGUAACCGGGUACAUAUUCGGUUUGGUUUAAUUGUUUCAGGUUUUGUAAGAAAUAUAAGUCCACUUCAUUUAAUUUAGUUUAGUUUGGUUUGGUUUAGUUAAGAGGUUACCCAUUUAUUUUGCCAUCUACGUGGUGAUAAUGUAAAGCCUCGUCUGUCACGCAGUUGUUGAUGAGAGUGACACGAGAACAUUGAACGUUGAGAAUAAUCUGUAGAAUAACUUCUAUCACACGCAGAGGUUUUGAAAAAAAAAAGAAAAAGAAUUCAUUGCUUUCGAAACCGACAAACUCUCGGACCGAAUACUAAGAAACCGGUUUACUUUGGCGCCUAGGAAUAUGGGUUACUAACUUUGACUUUUAAUGUAAGCAAUAAGCAAAGAUCUCUUGUUGUUUGCAACUCUUUCAACUCUAUAAUCUUUGUUUUUCAGACUGGCUAAGUAAAUUAAAACAUUAAAAUCUUAUAUAGUAUGUUACGAUGACUGUUCAUAAACGAUUUGUUCAUGUUGGAUUGAGAAACUAUACAUGGUUGAGCAUUGACAUUAAAAUUCGGCUUUAGUAGAUAACUUGUGUAAUCUUCUCUCGUUCUUGAACCUGCUAUAAUCAGCGAGCAAGCUCCCAUUAACCUUAUGCUUCAUAUUCUCCACUAAACCUGUCAAAACCUGUAAAUGGGUCCAAAUCAGAUCAUGUGUAAAUCAUAAGAGAUAGUCAAAUAAGGUUUUACAUACCGCACUGGCCAAGUUUCUCCUAACGUCUUCAGGUACCAAUUCAAGAACCGGGGGAAGAACAAAGCUUAUGUUCAUCUCUAGCUGACCUCUGAGCCUUGUGUGCUUUCCUCUCCGGUCUGGGUACAAUGCUCCUUUGACUCCCAAACUGAAGUCAGACGGUUGCAUCACUCGGUCAAGCCCUUUAAGUUGCCAUCUCGUCUGAAAAGAAGCAUUUAAGAGUUUGAGUAAUGGAAGAUGAAGAAACGAAGAGAGAGAAAAGUUAUUACCAUGUUGAGCUCAACAACUUUGGUUAUGUCUAAAGGUACGUCUGCCGGGUAAUCCUGACCGUUGGAUUUGCAACUUAAACGCAUAUCGACCACAGGCCACACAGUGAGGAAGAGGAAAUUAAUUGGUAACAUCUGAAUCCUCCACUCUUCCUGCAAAAAUUCAAUUUAUCCAAGUAGACUUAAAAUAGUGAAAAAGGGGGCGUUCCGAGAAUUGAACUCGGGACCUCUCGCACCCUAAGCGAGAAUCAUACCACUAGACCAAACGCCCGUUUUGAACGUGUUUUAUAUAUAACUAAUGUUAGUCAUAUUAGUUGACGUACCUCGUUAAGCUUAUGGCUUCUGGGUUUGUCAGGGAACAUGGCUUCGAAAACUCUCGAUUUAUCCUCUAAAUAGUCAUCAAACAACGCCUAAAAGUUCCUCAAAAUCACAUUUAAGAAACGCACCAAAACAGUUUAAACUGAAUCGUGUUAUAGAGGGAGAGAGAGAAGGAGACCUGAGGAGACUCGUGGAGAGGAAUAUCUGUGGAGAGUCUUGACGAAUACGUGGCAGGUUUUAUGGAUGAUACCUGACACCUAACUCUCCACCGUGUAAUUGGUCUCAUCUCCGUCUUCACCGGUCGGUAAGUUCCGAACAUGGGCGAUGACAAAACCGCCAUUUCACCGAUUAUCUUUUCAAUAUCAGAACUUUUAUAUAUUCCACAUUUCUCUUUUGAUUUCUCUCUGAAAGUUAAAAACUUUUGAAAGAACUUUUAGAUUUCUCUAGAGGAGUGAAGUUGCUUUUUGCUAGAGAUUUUGGAGGGAUAAGGGGAUAUCUGUCUUUCGGCCUUCUAUGUCGACGUGGCAUAUUUUGAGACUAGCCACAUCAUCAACAUUUGGAAUUCGUAGGGCCCUUCUUUUCUUUGUACUCCUUUCGGACUUUUCCUUUCCGUUAGUGGAUGAGAAUGACACGAGACGAAACUAAAAAAAAAAAAAACUCAAAUGUAUUAUCUGACGACAAAGGAAGGUUCGACAAACUAAACUCAAUCCUUAUUUUACAUUAGUUCCACUGUACAUGUUCUGUCAUAUUAAAAGAUCAAGAAUAUUCAAAUCCUACGAGCAACGCAUUAUAUUGUCGGAUGAAUUUCCUUGAAAGUGUAUGGUUUGAAAUUUCAGGACUGUAGAGGGCACACAGAUGAUCCUCCUAAAGAAUGUAGAUAUCAAACCUUAAGUUCUGUGAUUUGUUCUUCGAUUUCUUGCUUAUAAAAGCAAACUAAAAUGAAAUGUGGAACGUAAAUGCCACAAUUGAUUCACGGCUUCGUUGAGCUCACUUCACUCUCUUUGUUAAAACUCAAAUACAUCUCGAUCUUCUUAGUUCCAACAACCAAAGAGGAUACAAAAGACAAUCUUUCACGGUUUAUUUCUAACAUUAGUAAGAAAAGGACUCGUCUCUUUCUCUCUUAAUUCCUUCACGGUUAAAACCUCAAGUCAAACCGUCAACACACUUAUGGGCCUUAUCCAUUUCCUAACUGGGCCUUAAUUUUAAUUUUAAUUUCUAGUCCAAUCGGUAAUCGCUUCGAUCUGUCGGUAGACAGAAUAGAAUAAUGGUUUCGCCGGUUAAACCAGUCGGCAAUCGGUACGAUCAGAUUGCAUAAAAGCAAAUCAUAAUAAGUCACGUGGCACAGUUUACACGGUUCGUAGACUCGUAGUGGUCGCCAUGUAAACAGCGGGAAAACAGGGCCCCACACAUAUUAACUAAGGAGUAGGACCAACAAAAUCAUCACCACGAAACGCAGCGUUUCCCCUUCGUCUCCGCGUUUAAAAUCUUCUUUCACCCUUUCGUCAUUUCGUCAGAUCCAAGAGAGAGAGAGAGAAAUCAGAAAAAGAUCUUGAAACGAUGCCGUACUACACCAGAGACGAGGAUGAAGUCGACGAUUUCGACGAGUUCGAUCCGACGCCGUACAGUGGAGGCUACGACAUCACCGUGAUCUACGGCCGUCCGAUCCCUCCUUGCGACGACACUUGCUACCCUCUCUCCUCCGCAGCGGAUGAAGAUUUCGAGUACGAGAGACCUGAAUUCACCUCGUACCACGAUCCUUCCGCCUACGCCGAAGAAGCUCUCAACCCCGAGUACAGCAGCUACUCCCGCCCCAAGCCCCGUCCCGGUUUUCGACCCGGUUCUGCCGGAGGCGGUCACGUCCAAGGUGAGCGACCCGAUCAGAGUUACGGAUCCGGUUACGGUGGUCAGACGGAGGCUGAGUACGGUAGGAGACCUGAAUCGGGGUACGGCGGAGCCACGGAGACGGAGUAUGGCCGGAGACCUGAGCAGAGUUACGGAUCUGGUGGAUACGGUGGCAGAUCGGAGGUUGAGUCUGGUGGCUAUGGUGGUAGAUCAGAGGUUGAAUCUGGUGGAUACGGUGGAAGAUCGGAGUCUGGUGGCUAUGGUGGAAGAACGGAGGUUGAGUAUGGCCGGAGACCUGAAUCUGGAUAUGGUGGGAGAUCGGAGACGGAGACCGGGUACGGAUCCGGGUAUGAGAAGAAACCGAGCUUCGGUGAAGAGAGGAGCGAGUAUGAGCGCAAGCCUAGCUAUGGAAGGUCUGAGGAUCAAGAGGAAGGAGGUUACAGGAAGCCUAGCUAUGGGAGAUCUGAGGAUCAGGUUGAGAGCUACAUAAAGCCCAGCAGCUACGGGAGGUCUGAGGAAGAGGAAGAAGGAGGCUAUAGGAAGCCUAGCUAUGGAAGGUCUGAGGAACAGGAGGAAGGGAGUUACAGGAAGCCUAGCUAUGGCCGUCGUAAUGAUGAUGAUGAUGAUGAGGAGCGCAGGAACCGUUCCGGUGAUGAUGAGGAAGGGAGCUAUGGCCGCAAGAAAUAUGUAAGUUCAAUAAGUUAAUUAUAUAAAGUUAUAGUCAAUUUGCAUCUAGAUUAUUGUGUGGAAAUUAAGUUUAUUGAUUGUUUAAACAUAAAACCCUUUUGUUGAUGGACUGAUCUCAACAUUGAAACUAAAGAUUAUAGUUUUGGUGAUAACAUCCAUUACCCCCUUUAACUUCAUUCGUUCAGUAUUUGAUUUAACAUUGACAUCUUGUAGGUUAUAACAAUCAUAGUACAGAACUUGCAUUGUGUUUUUUGCGUCUCGUUUGUUUUGAAAAUAAGUUUUAGUUUGGUUUUGAUCACAGUGUAGCGGUGUAACUCUGUUUUCACAUCCUGAAAUGGAGUUCCUUAAUUUGAAAGCUAUGUUCUACAAUCCCAUAAUAACGUUCCUGGUUCAAUGUUUGUUUGAAUAUAGACAUCUUGAAUAUGUCCCAUUGUUGAUCUUAGUGUAGAGUAGUCUCCAUGUUGAACUAAAGUGUUUGUCUUUCAUACCCUGUAACUCUGUUUUCACAUCCUGUAAUGGAUUAGCCUCGGUUGAAAGCUAAGUUCUUUGAUUGAAAUUGCACAUCAUGUAUAUGACAUUUGAAGAUCAUAGUUACAGAGUAUCUAUCUCCAUUGUUAUGGUGACCGUUAAUAGAGGCAUCACUGACUAAAGCUUUCGCUUAACGUUAUUCAUCUCUGCAUCAAAUUCUGUAGGGUGGCAAUGACUCUGAUGAUGAUGAGGAGAAGAAGCAGCAGCGUUACAAGCAUCACCACCACCAGAGGCGUCGUGAUGAAGACGAUGACUAAAGCCCUCACUCAGUGCUGGAAUCGAGUGCUUCUACUUAGCUUCAUAUUACUAAAUAAAAAGCUAAGGCAUAUUUAUCUUUGGAUGUUGUUGUUGUGUUUGUUUGAUUCUCUCUAGAUACAGCAGAGUCUGUGUCUGGGUUUGUUUCUGGUUCAUUAUAAGACCUUGAAUUGAUAUCGGGUCAUCAUCAUGAUGUUAAACUGUUGCUACUCUGUGUUUCGUUUUUAUUUAUGGAACUUUUCUCUUUUAUGGCUUCUGUUGUUUUGGUUUUGUCGAUAUUAAUAUUAAAAAUCAAAAGUCAUUGCCGAGAAGGAAAAAUAUUUUGUGGUAAAAGCUAGAUUCGAUUUUUUAUACUGAAUAUUUUAUGAUUAAAAACAGAAAAAAGAAAAUCGGUUUUGUAAUAGGAAUGGGUUAAUCAGAUACCUAUAUGUACAUUACACAUCUUUUUGCUUCAACAUCAGAAACUUACAACCAAACAAUUCUAAAAGAAGCAAUGUCAAGCGCUACAGUCCUCGAUGAAUCUAGCGUUCCUAGCCCCAGGAGUACAUGGAGGUGAGAUUCCACUAAAUAUAUUGUUAUGUAACAUAAGAUUUUUGAUUAUAAACAUUAUUAUACUGAAACGAAUUUUCUGGUUGGUUGCAGGAUGGACGGGCAGUUACGAUACGACAUUGCGAUGAACACCAUCAUUAUAAUCCUCAUCACUGAUGCGGUCUUACAUAUGACUCUGAGAGCCCACAAGAUUCCCCUUGCUGAUAACGUUGAGGGACUUUUAUGUACAUUUGUAGUUGCGUACGUGUUUGUCAUCACGACUAAUUGCGGGUAUUGGCUUACAGCAAGCGAGGAAGAAGGGUGUUUACUUGGAAUUUACAUCACGGGACGCCUUGGUCACACGUUAGGCUUUUGUAUUUUCCUCUGUCUCCUCUAUUCUAGUUCUCACUUGGCUAUGUACGUUGCUCUACCUUGUUUACUAUGUUUGGUGCCAGCCAUGUUUGCACCGUGUUGUCCAUGUCUGUGGAGAGGAGAGUCAACUUGGUGGAAUUUUGUGAAGCAACCACAACCAACAGUAGAUAUUGUUUAACUUUUGGACUAUUAUUAUUAAUAGAAUUUUUUAAUUCCUAAUUUUGUAAACAUCUCGUCAAUUGUUUGUUCUUAACUUUUCUCUCUUGCGAUCGGUGAAUUUUGUUUCCACUGUCUACCCAUAAACCUCGUGUUGACAUGUGUUUUGCGAUCUAACAAGAUAUUAUUAUGGUUUAGGGAUUGUUUUAGACAUCAAUCCUCUUUUGAUAUGGCUGAAGAAAAUUAAGAGUUCCUAGUCUUGAUUUGUUCCUGCUUAAUGUAAUUUGGGGAAAGUGAUCAUUUAUCUUUUGGUACAUUAUCAUUGUGUGUUGCAUGCAAAGUAUCAAUCUACUUGGAACUUAACAUUGCGUUAUUUGCAUCUAGCUUGUUUGGAAAAUAAGUUUUAAUUUGGUUUAAUCCCGUUGUUGAUCACAGUGUAGUGUGAUCUCAAUGUUGAACUAAAGAUAUCUUUAGUUUGUUCUUUAGAUUCUUUAUGAGUUACUACAAGCCUUUGUCUGCUUCCCUUUGGUUACAGGCUUGUCAUUACUAGUUGUAGAUCAUCAUUGAUUUUGCAGAACAAAAGAUGCAGAAGCUGUCCCAAAUAAGGACACAAGGACAUAAGUUUGUGCUUUAGAUCCUUUAUGAGUUUAUCUUCAGUUUUUGCGUUUUAGAUCCUUUAUGAGUUAUUACAAACCUCUCGACUCUUGUAAGGACAUAAGAUCUGUGCAUUAUCUGGUUACUGGCUGUACAAAGAGCUUGUCAAUUACUAGGUGUAGAUCAUCAUUGUUUCUGUUUGUUAAGAUGCAUUGAUGACACCUUACUCAUUGAUUCCCGAAACAAAAGAAGCAUAAGCUCUCUGAAAUAAGGCGUGGCCGCAAAAAUGCUAAAGUGUUGGUAUGUAGUCUAAGGCAUAGAUCGAAUAAAGCAGCGUUUUCCUUAUUGUCCCUUUGCUUUGUACAUUUUCUUAUUCACCAGAUUAGAAAAAUGGAUCUUGAAGCCAGGAGCCUUCCACCAAGCAUUAAUUCCAGCCUCCUUGUCAAACUAAGAGAGUUUUCAAGUCUGAUCUCAACAACUUCAAAAGCGAAGUCAAGAGAUCGAUGAGGUCAGCUGAUCGAUUGGGUCGAACCACAGACAGAAUCAAGAGACUGAAGAGCUUGGCGUCUCAGUCCUCCAAGACUUGCACAGUCAGAGACAGUCUUCCUCUCCUACGCACUAACGACACGGUAUGUGCUCUCUUCAACAAUUUUCUCUUACACGGGUUUUAUCAUGAAGAAGAAUACUACGUGUGAUUGGCAUCUCUUUUAACCAAUAGCUCGUUCUCUGAUACAUACAGCUUAGUGGAGUAGACGACAAUGUAGGAAAGAGCAAGAAGACCUUGACAGGCAUGACUAGGAGGAUGAACGGGAACAAAUGGACCAUUGGAGCCAUUAUCACCGCUUUGGUCGCCGCCAUUAUCCUCAUCUUCUACUUCAAACUCACCAAGUAAGCCUCUGUAUCUAAACUCUUUGUCGCUGAACAAAUGGUGUGCUGUAAGUAGUAACAGCUGAUGACGAGGAAGAAGAUAGAAGGAAGCUAAGACUCUGAGGGACAAAGAGGCUUCUGCAGUUACAGUGAAGCUACUGUAUAAAUAAUAUUAUAGAGGGAGUGAAAGAGAGACUUUAUCGAUGUAUUAGCUCAUGCCUCAUAGUUCCAGUUGAUACUCUAUAUUGUGAGAGAGAGUGAUACAGUUGUAUUGUGUGUGUUAUGGAUCAAUAGAGAUUUGGUUCAUGACAUCUGGCUUUUAUCUGUGUGAUAAGUUAUGUCUUUGCCACCUUUUGUAUUAUCACGUUCUCUUGUUUGUGUUUGCGUUUACAGUUGUGUAUUUUUAUACUAAAUGAUGCAGAUUGUUUUGUUUAUUAUUAAAAGCAAGCUUAAAUUACAUUUUAGACAAUUAGAACUUAAGCCUUGAGAAUAAGAACUAGUUGUGUGUUUUUCUUUCAUUCUUGAACCUGUUAUAAUCAGCGAGCAAGCUAUCAAUAACCUUACGCUUCAUGCUAUCCACCAAACCAGUCAAAAUCUGUAUAAACCUGGAAUAUAGCUGGUUCAUAAUAAGACCUUGAACUGAUAUUGGGUCAUCAUCAUGUAAACAGCUGCGACUCUGUGUUUUGUUUUUGUGCUAUGAAAAUUUCUUAUUUUAAAGCAUAACUUCUAUUGUUUUUCUUUUGUCCAUAAGAAAAUUUAUUUUGUCGUUAAAACCAAUGUGACCACACAAAACCACUUAUCUAAUCUAAUCUAGAAACAAUAUGAAACAAGCUUCCUGCCAAAGACAUACACCACAGUUACAACCACCUUUGAAAUCGACAUUCCAAGUAUAAACCAUCUUGGCCACAUGCUGUGAACAGUGGUUGAUCCUUCAGCUUCCUUACGCAGCUGUGAAGGUUCCAAAGAAGAGUGCGAUGACAAGCCACAGUAAGAACCAUCUAGUAUUGAGUUUUCUCCUCAGUGUCUCCGCUUUGUUGGCUUGUGGAGUUGUGCCAAGUUGAAGUACGUCGCCACGAAACCAAUGUUGUUGAGCAGGAGAUAGACAGUGUAACAUCGCGUGUCUCUGAAACGUAUGUAGCCAUUUGAAUCGAGUCCACUAGGUGGACUUGAGAAGGAAGCCACCGUGGUUAGGCCACCGAUGGCCAACACGAACUUGGUAAGUUCUUCUCGCUCUUUGUAAAGAGCCUCCAAAGGAUCCUGAAAUAAAUAAAGCGUAUGUAGCCAUGUGAUGUGGACUUGAGAAGGAAGCCAAUGUGGUUAGGCCACCGAUGGCCAACACAAACUUGGUAAGUUAUUCUCGCUCUUUAUUAAGAGCCUCCAAAGGAUCCUACAAUAAAGUGUACAAAUUUUGUAACUCAAAUCUUUUCCUCAUUCUCAGACAUCUCUCGUAGAAGACAUACUAACCGGUUUGCCUGAGAAAUAUAAAACUAAAUGUUUAAAGUACAUGCUUCUUAUAAAAUCAAUCUACAACUAUUCAAUAAAACUUGAUUUGCUUUUAUUAAACCCAUUAAAAGCAUUUACACACUCAAUCACACAACUAUACUUAAAUGCCACGACUUUCUCUUGUUCUAAAUAACUUUACGUCUUUACAUGUGUCUCAUUUGUAGACUUUCGUUACUACAUGUAACAUUUUUUCCAUGACUUUCAUGACCCGAAAUGAAGCUUUAAAAGUUCGUGAAACUAGUUUUCAAUAUAACAGUUCAUCAACUUAUCAACACAUUUACCUUAAUAUUCUAUGUUCCAAUAAAAUAAACAAACUUACUGCGAUUAUCGACGAAAUGGAGCUGAGGUUGAGGAAAGUCCUUGAUUUCCUAUCUUCAACAAAAAUAAAAAAGUAAAGAAAUGUUUUGCUAUUACAACAGCUUAUGUAGUGAUUCAGAUAAAACAAAAAAAUAAACACAACCUUCUGAUUGAUGCCACAUGAAAAAUGAUCAAUGUCUCUAAGCUUCUCAUCCUAAACGCCUUCCCCAUACAAUUUACAAAAUUUCUUCUCCUCUACAACUUUUGUCGUUAUGCGAAGAUGGUGACCCUCUGUUCAUUAAAUCGAUUGGGCUUUUUUUUCUUUCUUUUUUAGUAUCAUGUGCUUAAAGAUCCUAUUAUAAUAUUCUAAGUACGUUUUUCAUAGACGAGACAUCCCAAAUUUUUAUCUUUACUUUUCCUACACCAAUUCAUAGCUAUUUAUAUUUUGACGCAAACUAUAUAAAAUCGGAUCAGUUUACUCAAAACCCAGUACGUGGCUAAUCGUAAAAGAUACAUAGAAGUAUUCAACAAAUCAUUUCAUAUCAUUCAUUCAUUCACCCACAAAGAGCUCUCAAAUUGGUUUCGCAACUACAAAACAUCGAAUCCGUUCUUGGAUUAGGGUUUUGAGAUUGAGUCUCAUCAAUUUUUUUUGUUUCUUAUUGUAGAAAACUUUCACUUUGAGCUACAAGACAACUACUAGUGAAGGAGACCAGACAGUUCCAGAUCCGUUUCCAAAGUUGUUGGAUAAUUUAGGACCAUCUUUAGUACAUUUGUUCUUCGUCCCUGAGAAAAGAGGAGGAUCGAGUUAGGUUAAAUUUGCUACAGGUUAUGUCAAAUUGUGCGGGAGAAUGUCGGUAGUAAAAUGAACUUACUUAUGCACCUUAGUGUUUGUUAUCACACCUGAGUGUGUUGAGAUUCACAAUCUGAUUUUGAUGGAAGAAAGCGGGAAGAAACUAGUUAGCUACUUUCUUGAGAAUUCAUUUGUUCUCAAGAAACUCAUCCCGCGUUUUAGGGAUUCUUUAAUAUAUCUUACUCAGAUUUCUUCAAGGAGCUUCUUAAAUUCAGAAAGCGGUCUUGCAGUUGUCCGAUUAUUUUUCUUUGAGAAAUUGGCGAUUAGAGUUCAUUAUUUAUUUUGAUUUUGAGUAUCAUUGUGUAUGAAUUUCGUAUGGAUUGUAGAUUUUAUUAAAACCUGUUCCAUAAAGAUUUAUUUUUUGAUGGAAAAAGAGUAAACGACUUUAUAAGAUUUUGUUGCAGUUAAAAAUUAAAAGAUAAACAAAUAUAUAUUAUGUAUUUAUUUAUGAAAUAAGAAAAUUAAUUAAUACUUGAUUUGACAUUGUUAUCUUUAAGAAAUUUUAUACCUUCCAACAUGUUAAUAAAAUUGAUUACAUUAAAUAUAUCAACCGUGGCAGUUACAGCCCCCGAUUAAAGCAUUUGAUCUAGUCAGUAGAUUUCUUGGAAAUCAAGUUUCGAUUCCAUUUCAUUUGUGCAUGUUAAACGCCCUAGUAAUAGUUGUGCUGACUUCAAACAGAUCGGAGGCUUACUGAAUUUGAAUUUGGUCGACUUUGAGAAGGUGAACAAAAUUCGAUUGUGAGUUAUUUCAAAAACGUUUUUAUUGAUAAGAUGAAAAAGAGGUUACAGUGUUUGGACAUGUAAAGUAUAAAACACAAAUAUAAGUUGUUGUUUUUAACACUAGAUAAAUUACCAAUUACUAAUGAACAACUAUACAGAUAAUAAAGAGCCUACAAUACUUUGAAAUGUUCGAAGAGCUUUGCAUAUAAUAAUCUGUAAUAAACAAAACAUAAGUGUAAAAAUCUUUAAACAAUAACCAUUAAACUAUAGUGCUUAUACGAGUCGUAUUUGUUGAAAACAAAACAAGUAUGAGUCGUAUGACCUGAACAAAACAAAAUCGAAUAACAAACCGGAUCUAAUUGACCACUAACCGGAACCGGUUCAAUCGGGAAUUGACUCAAAUCCCAUUAAGCGGCGCAUCGCGAGAAAAAGAGCCAGCAACUGUUCAAAAUAUCUCAAUAGAUAGAUCAAAAAGCAAUCAUGGACACCAUCAUUCAUUAACAAAUAUCCUCUGAAACCUCCGUUUGAAUUAUUUCUAUCUUCUCACAUCGCAUCAUGGGUGCUUCAUCCUCUACAGAUAAUAAAGAAUCAUCGGAGAAGCGAGAAAUCGAAAGCCUCGCUGCUUCCACCGGUGCUCUUCCUCUGCUUCAACGAUUUUUCUCCAAGCUCGCCGAUCCUCAGACCAACACUGUUUCCUUCCAAUCAUUCAAGGUAAUAACGAUUAGGGUUCUGAUUGUUCUUAAAGAGAAUCUGGAUUUGCAGUUACAGUAGUUUUGGGAUUUGAUCGGAUCGUGAAUUAGUGUUUUGACACUGAGUUUGAUCGGAUCAUGAAUUAGGGUUUUGAGACGUUUCAUCAAUUUUUUUUUGUUUUGUUUCUUAUUGUAGAAAAGCUUCACCUUGAGCUACAAGACAACUACUUGUGAAGGAGACCAGAAAGUUCCAGAUUCGUUUCCGAGGUUGUUGGAGCAUUUAGGACCAUCUUUAGUAGAUUUGUUCUUCGUCCCUGAGAAAGGAGGAGGGUUGAGUUGGGUCGAGUUUGCUAGAGGUUAUGUCAAAUGCUGCGGAAGAAUGUCUGCCUCCAUGUCUUACAACACUCUGUUGAGAGUGUUUCAUCUGACAUCUCAAAACGCAGGCUUUUCCUCGAAGCUGGAGUUCGAAUCUGACGAAGCUGAUUGUAAGAUCAACGGGUCGGUUUCCACCGUAGAGUUGGUUAUGUUUCUGUGGAUGUGUUGGACGAUGUCGUGGGAUGGUCGAAGCAGUAGAUCCAGCGACUUGUUUCUUCCUGAUAUAAGCCACUUGGUUAUGUCAGCGCUUGUGUCUUGCACCGAGUCUGGAGCUAGUUUGGAUGUUUGGGAUUCUGAUGUUUUCGGAUUGGAGCUCGAGCUUCCUGUCGGGAAAUUCCUGACGUGGGCAUUGACGACGAUUCCAAGCCUCACUGAGUGUCUAUCUCACUUCUGCAACGCGAGGCUUCAGCAUUGUUUAAAUGCAGAGGUACUCUUUCUUUACCUGUUGCUUUUCAUUUAACCGUAUGGUGUUCACUAAAAGUGGAUUACAGGAUGGAUCUGGGCCUUCAAAGUCAGCUGGUGGAGAUGAUUCUGCGUCCAAGACAUGUGAUAACACUCUUCUAACAUGUGGAAGGGCAUGGGCGAUUUCUUUGACGUCCAAGAAUACCUUAAGUGAGGAGAUCUUGAGCUCAUGCUUUCCCUGCAAUGGCGAUGAACCCAAUGAAAAUCUUCUUUACCGGUAUCCCACUGUCCUACUUCUGUGAAGGUUCUGUCUCUAUAGUGUAACUUAACGUGUUCAAUGUUCAUCUGUCUUUCAGCUCAUACCAUCAUGGGAAAGGCAUGAAUCGAUUGUGGGACAACGUUCAAGGGUAUCAUGCUCCUAUACUAUUGCUAGUUUCUGCAAGCGGUGGAGUUGAGCAGGAGGGUAGUUCAAGCGAGAGGAAGUGGGUCAUUGGUGCUAUCUUGCAGCAAGGUUUUCAGAACAGAGAUACAUUUUACGGAAGCUCUGGGAACUUGUUCUCCAUUAGUCCUGUCUUUCACGCAUUCUCAUCUUCAGGUACUGCACACAUCAGAGAAUUUUCGUAGGCGUAGUCAGUUGUUUUGCAUUAGUGUAGUCUUAUAUGGUUUUGUGUUCAACUUCAGGGAAAGAGAAAAACUUUGCAUAUAGCCAUCUUCAUCCCUCUGGUAGAGUCUAUGACGCAAACCCAAAGCCUGUUGGAAUUGGUUUCGGGGGAACACAAGGAAACGAGAGAAUCUUCAUCGACGAAGACUUUGCUAAGAUCACAAUCCGUCAUCAUGCAGUUGAUAAAACUUACCAGCCUGGCUCUCUCUUCCCAAACCAGGUAACGCAAGUGCUGGUCUAUAUAUAUGAUUCAAGUUUUGUGGUCUUGGAUAUUUAUAACAUCUGUUGUUGCAGGGUUAUUUACCAGUAGAGGCUUUGGUGUCAGAUGUUGAAGCAUGGGCAUUAGGUGGAAAAGCAGCUAAGGAAGUUCAAGAAGCAUACAAGAAAAGAGAAGAGCUUUUCACUGACCAACGUCGAAAGGUAAGAAAAGAUCAAUAAGAUCUAUUUAUGCAAAUGCACAAAAGGACUUGCAAGUUUGACAAGUUGUUAUAUGUAUCUACAGAUUGAUUUGAAGACGUUUACGAAUUGGGAAGAUUCACCUGAGAAAAUGAUGAUGGAUAUGAUGGGGAAUCCUAAUGCUCCGGCUAGAGAAGAGAGGUAAUGAGUGAGGGGAGCAAGACUUGUUUGGUAUAUUUAUGCACAUACGUUUUCUCAAUAGAGGUUUCGUCUGUAAAGUAUAUAUUUGAAGAAACUCAUUUGCUGUUUGCGUAAGUUAUGUUUACUAUUAUCGUUGCCAAAACUCGAACCAGAGUGUUGAGUUUGAGAUUUACCCAAUAAAAAAGAGUUUUAUUUGAAGAGUUUUAUAGACGUUACAAUGAAUCAACAAGUAGAUAAUUGUGGUUUUAAGUUUCAACUAAGCAACUCUUUUCGUGUGAAAUGGUUUCCAGAGCUCUCUGCUUUCUGCUGAGAAUCAUCUCCAUCACUUUAUUCAUAGACUUGAUCUCCUCCUCUGCCUUCUUUAUCUUUCUUUCCUCCGACUCUUAUCUUCUUUCUUCUUUCUUCUUACCAAAACCAUUUUACUCUUUUCUUCAUCUCUUGCCUCACAGAUCCUACAACAAAGAAGGCCAUACCAAAACUUGGUUUUCUCUAAACCGAAUCAAUUUUAGUUAUAGUUCGGUUCAUCCUAACCCAAAAAAAAAACUAAAUGGCUUAAAAAUCGGUUAGACCUGAAUCUGGUUGCGUAAGCCUUUGGUAGAAGGUGAUGAACUUCAUAGAGAAGCUGUACAAGGGGGAUUAAAAUACUUGGUUUCUCUCCCAUUCAAGUUCCCUUACCUUUCUCUCACAUUCUUCUCUAUCCAUUCUCUAUCCAUUGUUCCUGUGUUAUUGUUAUUUUCUGGCCAUCUCAACCACCUAUGUAACUUCCCCAUCUGUUCUAGAGAAAUAGACCGAUGUAACUUCCCCAUCUGUUGAGUGGUACGGUAUUGUGCUCAAAGUCCCCUUGAAUACUAAAUUGGAAAUGUUGCUGUUGCUACGGUUUUGACGAUAGAAUAUAACUCAUAUGACAGGUUGGAAACUGAAUUAUUUUCUUUCAAACCAUGUCUUCAAAUCGAUCACAUUAGUUUUGGUUUUGCUUUUUGUUUCAAUGUUAAAUCAAUGUCCAUAAAAUUGGUUUUGUUCUUUUAUACUCUCACUAAAAAUAGCAGCAUUCUUAUUAAUAGAUGUAUACAUUGUGACAAAACUCAAUUCUAGUUAAUACAUCCUCUAUUUUUGAUGAAAAAUAUAAGUUAGAGAUGCUCUUACACAUUGAAUCCACAAGCUAAUGACCAACAAACUAGUUUAUUCAAAGUGCAUAAUUUACUAGCAAAACCUCCAUUAAAAACAGUGCUUGACAAACAUGAAUUCUCUCUUUCAAGCUCAAGAACAACGCUUAAACAAUAUAUGUAUCAGGUAGGAUUCAAAAGCUCUAAUCCGAAACAUGAAACAGAGUAUCACAAGGACAUGCAUAGGUAUUCAAAGCCUUAUCUGCUAUACUUCCUUUUAUCUGCUUUAAGUUUAUCCCUAAAAUCACACCAGUAUGUUGGCUCAUCUUGCAAAACAAGCCUCACCAGCUUCUUAUUGAGAAAAUGAAGACAUGAAUUAAACUUCAUGGUUUCUGAUCAAAAGUUGACAUCAAGAAAGAAACAAUACAAAUCUAUAUGUCCCAACCUGAAACCCAAAGCUUGAGACACAUAUCAAGAGUUAUACAUACCCAAAACUGAACAAGAGUAAACCCAAAUCAAGCGAGCAAGCAUAUCAUUGCUUCUUGUCUUCUGCUUUCCUCGGCUGCAAAAAAACAACAAACCAAACCAACACACACAAAGAUCAGUUCUCUCUUCCUCUCACAAUGAUAAAAUGUGUGAAAAGACAAACGGACCUUAACACCAGGAGCUUCUUGGUGAAUCUCUUCCUCAGGGAUGAUGACAGGCCACUGCUCCCCGGCUUCACGGAACAUCUGCUCCGUCUCGAGAUACUGCCCUUUAUCAAGAAUCAUCUUCCUGAUCGACUGAGCCGACGUGGCAGCCGCAUCGAAAGCUUCCUCGACACCAUUGACGAAAGUGACACUGAUCUGCGGUGGCUGAUCGUCGGUUCUGCGUUUCACCAGAACCUGACAGUUAGGGUUGGACUCUUUGGCCUUCCUCGCGUUGCACUGAGCCAAGAACUCGACGCAGGAGGCGAGUCUUGGGUCCAAUGUGUUGAACUCGAUCUUUACUUUUGAUAGGAACUUCAACAUCCUCUUCUCAAACCUAAAACAGUCAUUGAUAACAAAUCGUGAAGCGAGAUCUGAAGAUGAUUUCUACCAAAAUCUGAUAACCCAAUGAAAUUAAUAAGUAUACGAAAUUAAAUUGUGGGUUGAGAAGGAGAUCUCUGACUUACACAGGUCGACGGGGGCUCUCCGGCGAGAAUUGAUUUUAAGGGGAAAAUGCAGAAGAAACCGAUGCAGGUGGAAGGAAGACUGAAGAAAAGGGUUUUGGGCUUUCGACUGUGUAAAAGGACGAUAGUACCCUUAAUAUUUAUUCCCCUUUGCUUCGGUUUGGUUCGUUUUUCUGAUAGAGCCGCAGAGAAUUUUUGCAAUAAGGAUAGAUAACUAUUUUGAUUUUCUUGUAAUUGCAUUAACUUGAACUGAAGUACAAUGUUACAACGCUUAGGAAUCUAAAACAAAGCCCGAGAGAAAUAUGGGAGACACACUGCCGGCAAAGACACACCUUUCCAGAACCAUGACACUAAACAAGAGAAAUAAAGAAACUACAACAACAUAGACAACAAGAUUUUCAUCUAAAAACUUCAAUCUUUCCAUCAACACUGAUGAUAGGACCACGGCAAACCAACAUUGAAGAAAGGGAGAUAGCAAACCCCAACAGAAGUGUUAAAAACACCAGAUAAAGCACCAUUGGAAUAAAGGAUAAGGUGAUCUCUUGCUUAACCCUUGUCCCAAGGUAAUCAGAGACCCGGCGAAGCCACAAGUUCAAUACACCAUCCUACAAACAACUGUUGGAGACAACCACUCAACAAACCCAAACACUGGAAAGAGCAUGACACCUCAAAGAAACUACAAACCCCACUUCACAACCGGCAAGCGCAAAGAAGUAACCAGAACACGAACAACGCUCUGUAGCACCGGAAAAAAAAAACUGAUUUGGAGGAAGAAACAAAGCUAAUAUUGGAGCCACAAAGGAGACGACUCCCUUCCUACAGUUUCAUAAUGAAACACACCCGACAGGAAUCUGAACUUAUCAAGAAGAGGUUAGCAGCACAAAGGCAUUGCCCUCACUAGACGCCAAGAAACCCCAACCCGCAUGCGAGAACCGAGGAGAGGCCAGACCAGAACCCAACAACAUCAGAAGACUGCAUACCACCACACGAUCAGAGAACCGACGCAAAGACCAUCGAAAAGCAAACUCCACCAGAUCUACUACCACCCACAAAGAAAUAGGGAUGGCAAUAAAUAAUCUGGACCGCGGGCCUGACCCAUAAAGACUUACUGCGGGGCGGAAUCGGGCCACCUUGGUAAGCCCGCAAAAUAUAUAUGUAUUUUUUUUUUGAUAAAUGGUCAUGAAAACACACGAAGACAUUACAAAAUGAAGAUGCGAGUAUAAAUUAUACUAUCGUGAAAUUACAUCGCAGCUAUGAAUAUUACAUUUAUGUAACUUUAAAAUUUUAAAUUAUAUAUCUUCUUUGAAACGUUUGUCAUUUUUCUAUUAAUUUGGAGUAUUUCAGACCUGUGAAAAUCAUAAAUUUUAUCUUCUGUUUGGAUAUUUAAAUAAUCUGUAAAGCAUAAUUUCAUAUUAAUCUGUAAAGUAUAAUUUCAUAUCUACAAAAUCCUCUUGUAACCAACUAAACUAGAGAAGAAUUUAACAAAUAGUUGGCCCUUUAAAUACUUUAAUUAUCUAAGCCCCCAAGCACAUGCUUUACUUGCUUCCAUUCAGAGCAUCUAAAAAAAACUCUAUUUUGAAGUUUCUAAAACUCUAUAUUUGAAGUUUUAAGGUGUUUUUCUCCAAAAGCAAAACUUCAAACUUAACUUCAAAGCUAUUUGUAUUUUAUAAUAUGGUCCUAAUUUAAAUUCAUAAAACUUUUGUAUAUAACUAGCACAUAUGUAAACAUAUUACAAUAAUAUUAAUUAAUGAAAUAUUAUAUUAAAAUAUAAAAAUUUAAACAAAAUAACUUAACUAAUAUUAAACUUCAAGCAAAAUACCAUAUUAUUCCAUAAAGUGAUUUUCGUAGUGCAUAUAUGAUCUACUAGUGCAUUUUGAAUUAAAAAUAGUUUUCCUCAUUUUUAAUUUGUAGAUUAUAGAUAAUAAAUGUUGAAAUCGGGAGAUAUUAAUACUUGUAAAUACAUUAGAUCAGAACAAGAAAGUAAAAGACAAACAUAAAAUAUUUCUAAAAGACUAACUUUUAUCGAUGAUAUUAAUACUCGUGAAUAUAUUCAAUAUGAACAAGAAAGAAUUGUACGAAAAGAUAUCAUCAACAAAAACAACAACCAUCUUCAAUUACACCAAAAAACUAGACAAUAUUUGAAAUUUUGAAGGUUCCAGAUCAAACUUACCUAACUAUUAGUGUUAUUGUAUUAUUCAAAUUUGUGUAAUAGUUAUGUCUUUAUAUAAUUUUUUAAAAGUUUUUUUGUUAAGUUUCUUUUGUAUAUUUCUGUUAUAUAAAUCUAGUUUUAAAUAUUUUAAAUAUUCUUUUAACAAAAUACAAAUAAAAAUAUGAAACUUCAAAUUUGAAGUUUUGAGUAGUGAAACUUCAAAUAUAGAGUUUCACCUCUCAAAACUUCAAAUUUGAAGUUUUGAAGUUCAUUUUUAGAAAGUAAAAAGCUUUAUAUUUGAAGUUAUAGAGUGUCUUUUGUAGAUGAGCAUGGCUCUAUGUCUACUACUAUACUAUGUGAUUGUAAUUGGUUUAAGAUAUUUAAAGGUGUAUAGUGAUUCAGUUAUUGUUUAUGUAUUUAGGCAGUGCUGAAAAAUUAAUUCACGCAUGUUCAAUUUGAUGUUAGCAUUUUAAAAUCAGGUCGUAUGAAAGCAAGAUGAUCACCUAGACAAUUUUGAGUUUGACAUAACAAUAUAAUAUUUGAUAAAAUCUUUCAAACUUUGUUAAUAUGCUCACAAGUCAUAGUAUUACUAUUUGGUUGGUGGCCUAACACAUGUCUUUCGUCAUUGUGAAUAACAGUAAACAAAAUUGGUUUCUCACUUCUCUAGUUUCAAGAUAAAAUAUAGUAAUAAAUUUAAUGUUCUGGGUGGUAAAUUAUGAAAAAGAAGCAUCUCAUUAUAGAAACCUUUUUGGGUUAAGUAAAUGUUAUAAUCAUUCAAAAUUAGUUAUAAACUAGUAGAUUGCUGUCCAAAAAAAAGACUAGAUUAGGUCUAAGCAUUGCACAAGACAAAUGUAUUUAUUAUAUUAUUUAACUAACAAAUCUAUUAAAAUGCUAAUUCUACAUUGCAAAAUAAAUUGACUUCAUUAUUUUUUACAAAAAAUGUAACAAGAAUCUUCAUAUCUCACACGAACACAUGAAUUACAAGUCUACAACAGAUAUUACACCUCAGAAAUUCCAAAAGCAACCCGAUUCUCCCAUACCGGCUAAAGCGGAGGGGUCAGUACCAGUACCGGGGAACUGGGUUUCGUGACUGUUAAGCAACAGUUUCAUUAGCGAAUCAUUGUCUGUUAGAAACAGAGGAUCAGGGUAAAACAGAGGACCAGAACCGUCUUUGGACUCGAGAUGAAUGAGUCUUUUAUCUUCGGUUUCUUGGUCGGAGAAGCAGGUCACGUGAGUAGACGAACCAGGGAAGGAAUCUCGUUGAGAAGAAUCCAUCAACGAAGGUAAUCCGACCGGUUCAAUCCGGUUAACGUGUGAAUCAAGCAACAUUAAAUGGGACAUAUCAACCUUUGUACCAUCGGCACGUUUAUGGAAAACACGGCAAAUAACCCAAUCGUUCUACAUUCACACACAACAAAACAGAACACAAAAUAUCAAUUCAAUUCCACACAAAAAAAGACAAAAAAUGUCUUUGAUGUUAUUGUUACCUUAGCUGUCUGGGAGAGAUGUUGGAUAGAAUAUAUGCCUUCUAAUCGAUAUUCAUGCAUAACCCAAUUGGUUCUUACUCCUUUAGGAGCUCUUCCUUUGUAGAAAACCAGAGUCUUCUUCAUACCCACAAGUGAUUUCCCCUUGAAAAUCUCUUUAUCUUUGCCUGUGGCUUUCCAGUAACCGGCUUCAGUUGCCCGGUUUGUCCUUAAACCGGUUGGGUAUUUCCGGUCUCGCACACAAAAGAAAUACCAUUCUUUCUCCCCUAUCUUAGCUUUCCCUAUUUCACCAAAAGCCAUCACAUAUAUAUUUGUGAGUAAUAAUAAAUUACAGAACAAUAAUAACUAACAUAAAAAAGUUUAAAAAAGGUGGAAAAAGUUUAGAAAAGGCAUGAUACUUCAUGCAGUCUCAAACCAUUUGUAAAGUUUUGUGGAAUCAUGUAUAUUAAACAUAUAUAUUAUUUUUUUUUAACUUCAGAUAUAUAAAUUCAUAUUUACAGCUUUUGUUAUAGUACAAACGUUUUUUAAUUGCUGGAAAGGUUGUACACUUACUUGGUAACUCCCAAGGCUCGAUCUUGUUGAGAUCAACUUCACCAAUGGCGGUGGCAGAGAAGAAAGUGUUGAAGACCUUUUGUUUGAGAUAGUGAGUUAUGAGUUCUUCAUCAGUAGGGUGAAAUCUGAAUCCAGGUGGCAGAUCAAUUUGCUCUUCAUCUUCUACUAUUUCACCGAUUCUUGAUGCAUCGUAAUCCAUUUAUCCUAAUAAAGUUUAUUAGAAACAAUCAAAGUUAUGUAAGAGAGAAGAGAAGGGUUUUUGAAGAGAUGAAUAAAAGGGUUUUGAAGAGAGAGAGUGUGUUUUUUAAGAGAGAAGAGGAAAGGGUUUGAGCAACGAAGCUCCUCUCUAUAUACUAGUUUUCCAUCAGAGAAAUAAGGAAAUAAUAUUAUUAUUGUUGAUAUUGACCAAUAAUUGGUCAAUCUUUUGUGUAUCAAGUUCUUCUUUCAAAGUUUCAAACUAUGAGUUGUAUUGAAUUUCAAGAGUUUUUACCUACUAUAAAGAAAACUUUUAUCUUCGCUCUAAAUGAUUUAUUGUAUAUAAAUGGGUUUUCCGAUUUAAAUCUCGUACAGCCAUCAAAUCAUAUUAUAAAUCAGAAAAUGGGUGUACACACACAUUAACACAUACUAUAGUUAGUUUUCUUAGUAUGAUAGAGAAAGAGGAAGAUGCGUCGAUUGUUAGGCAACUUAAGAUGUGUAAUAUUCAAUAAUCAUUUCUCAUCAUUAAAAAUAAACCUUUCUAUUUCAAGAACUUUAAUAUUUCCAAGUUUCAAUUUGACCAGGAACACUUCACCUGUGGCUCCCUGUCCCUUUUUUGGUUAAUGUGAUAAGAACAAUCUUAUCACAUUAAAUCCUGAUGUUUUGUCCAUUCUUGAAACUAAUUAUUAGUUGCUGGAAAAAGAAUAUCAGUAGAAAACUAUGAUUAUUGGUUUGAAAACAUUUUACAUUGAAACUAUAUGAUUAUAUAAUUGAAACAUUAUAAAUUACCGCGGGUCACUAUUAUUGGUGUUGUGAUUCAGGAUAACUAUGAGAAAAGAGUUUACCAUGGUUGGAUAUAAUUUGUUUUAUUUACUUAACAAGUGUUAUCCCUCUCAUGAAAAGAUUAUGCAUGCAUGAACCUUGGAAAGUAGAUUCUUUAGUAUUAAAGGAACUCUUUUCUUUGUCCUAUUACAGUGCCUACCGUUAUAAGAAAUUAUAAUACUAGUAUGCAAGAUUUUUUAAAAAAGUUCAGUGAAAAAUUGGAAAGAAAAACGAUUUCCUUGUGAAGAUGGGUAAUGAUGAUGAAUGGAUGAGGAUUGUGAUGAUGAAAAUCUGUUAGAAUGUGAAGACAUUUUGAACAACCUCAACCUUAUCAUAUGUGAAUUAUUUGAUUUUUUUAAUGAUCGAAUCACGCGUUUGUGCAUACGAGGUUGUCAUUUGUCACUUCUACAACAUGUGCAUUUUAUUCUUUUCUAGCCAAAUUUCUUCCUCAGUAUUUUUAUUAUACUUGCUGUUUAAAUCCUUAUAUAAUCGAUGUAUUGGUAUUUUUAAUCAACUAUAGUUAUCAUAAAUUGGAAUUUGGAUCGAUACUGGAUAUAUAAUUUAUAUCUUUCUAUUGCACUCUUUUCUUUUCAACUAAUUUCCCAGACUCAAAAGAGAAAAGAUACAUAAGUUGCCAGAAAAAAAAUCAAUGUAUGUUUCACACUAAAAGAGCUAAUGACAAAAUUCAUAGUACAACAAAAAGAAUAUCAAUUCUAGAAGGCCAUAAAGCAACACUCAAGUGAUUGAUGGAACACGUGGAUUUUUCAAAUUAUGUUCCUUCUUCUCAAAAACCCGUUUAAGUUUCCUUGCCUUUUUGACCAAAUUCCCCAAUCUAUCAUUUGUCAAGUUGCUCCUCCAAAAAAUUGCUUAUACUCUUUUUAACAGAGAUGAGUAGGGUUACAUAGACAAAUUGGUUAUAUAUAUUAGGGGUGGGCAAAAAACCCAAACCGAACCGAACCGAACCAACCAAACCGAAGUUAAACCGAACCAAACCAAACCGUGCUCUUUAUGUAACCCAAUUGGUUCAUGUUUUACUCAACCCGAACGGUUUGGUUUGGUUUGGGUUUAAACCGAACCAAACCGAACCAAACCGAUAAUCCAAUAUAUAUAUAGUAAAAAUAUAUAUGAUAUAUAUAUAUGUAUUAACAUAUUGCAAAUUUUAGUUAAAGUUUCGUUUUUCAUUUUUUCAUAACUUCCAUAUCUUUAAAAAAAAUUAUAAAUACGAUUCAAAUAAUACUAUUAUAUAUAAAAUCAUGUAGCAUAAGUUUUUAUAUUCUCACUCUAUCGUUUAUGAGUUGAUUAUUUUUUAAUAAAAGUAUAAAACUAAUGCCUUCAUAUUUUAUAACCAACCCAAACUACACCGAACCAAACUAGACCAUAAUAAUGUAAACCAAACUAAAUCUAAACCAAACCGAACUGAACCGAACCGAAUUAAACCCAAACCGAACCCAACCCAAAGCUACUUUGGUUUUAAUUGGUUUGAGUUUUAUAAAACCCAAAUUACCCAAACCAAACCGAACCCAAACCGAACCCGAAACUAAACCGAAAUGCCCACCCCUAAUAUAUAUAGGGGUUAUUUGUGAAAUAACCAAAAAAGAGUAAUUAGUAUUUUUUAAUGAGAGGUUAGAAAGAAAUAGGAAGAGAAAUGAGGAAAGAGAUGGUUGUUUUGGUUAGAAAAUGAAUUUGAGGUUUUUAUGUAUAUAGGGACAUAUUUCCCUUAUAUACUUUUUGUUUUCAAAAACAAAAACCAAUAUAACUACCGCAUCAUUAUUUUUCAGUUUGUUACUGUGAAUGUUUUUGAUUUGAACGCCAUUGACUAGAUCAUGUCCAACUUCUUCAUGACCAUUAUUCCACUAUCUCUUUAUCAUGGCCUAAAACCUCGCGCAUUCAUAUCAAAAAUCUCAUUAGAAUCGAAUUGGAGAGUUUUCAAAACUCUAAUGCUUCUCCAUAUCAAACAUCUCAUUAAAAUCGCCAAAUAUUAUUCACUACUUCUUAGUUCUUACCUAUUAUGGGAGAGUUGUGAUGAUCCAUCAGUUCCCCAUAUAGAACUUCUACCGUUAUCGCUCUUCCUCGAAGUUAGAAGCGUAAAGUGUUUUAUGAUAAAAAGACAGAAAGGAAAUGGGAUGGCAAGAAACUUAUAGAAUUUUUGUUAUGAUCUAUAAUACAAUUAUUAUUACUUCGAUUUGUUUGAUUAUUUUUUACUCGUGGUUCUUUUACUAAUUGAUUAGUUAAGUUUGGCUACACUUGUUGUCUUAUAAGAUUGAUAUCGUAGAAAAGUGAGAAGCUUACAAAUCAGUUUGACGUUUUUGAUUGGGACUCGGAUAUAGUGGAUUCAGAGGAAGUGGAUGAAGAUUUCAUUGUCGACCUAAUGACUCUAUCAACUAGCAGACUUCUUUAGGAUAGGUUGGUGGCAAUUUCUGAAAUGCAACAGAGAUGAAUGCUACUUUAAGCUCAACUCAACUAAGGCAAAAGGAAGUCGAAUACAUAGGAAACAUGGUUGACGUGGUGGGUUUGGCUAACCUCACUAUGGUGACCAUGGAUAUCCUCUAGAUAGUUUUAGCUCUUGCCCGUUUCACUUUUAAGCAUUCAAGUUGCUUACUUGUUGCUUGUAAAACCUUUUCUAAAUUGCAACUGUUGGCUUUACUGUUGGCUUAAUAUAUAUGUACAAUGAGAAGGUCUAUUAAUAUUCAAUGGUGUGAGUUCUUCUACACACAUUUUCUUAGUGUGAGCCCGUCCCGUGCAUCAUAAACGUAGACCUCAUGUCGAAGUAGAACAUUCAAUUAUUUUUAUGAGAUGAGAGCAUAUAUCUACUACGAACAAAAUGCAUAUUAUUUUACUAAACAAUUGGGACGAAGAUAAUUUGUAUUAUUCGUUCCAAGUCCAACUGAGACAUUUUUUGCCAAUCAAUACAUUAUAUUAAAAUCUUCAAAUGAAGAUGAUGCAUACAAUACAAAAUUGAAAAGAUAAAUGGAAUGAUAAAAAGUUAGAAAAGAAAAGUAUAAGCCUAACAUCCAUGAGUCUCUAGCCUACUUCAAUUCUUGAAUGGAGCUAAACCAGACUUUCCAGUGGUAAAUAAAACUGAAACGUUCUUCUCGAUUAAUUGAGAUAUGUUGGCUAUUAACAAUGAUGAGUUCAUUUGCUAAGAACUUUAUGCUAUUUUUUUUUUAAUCAAAAUUUCUAAAGCUAAUCCUUUUUUCUAACACCUUUCUAAAGCUAAUCAAUCGUUUCCUUUUGUUUUAGGCUUUUAGCAGUUCUUUCCUUUUCAGGAAAUAUAAACUAAAUUCUAUAAAUCUUUUGCUACUUGGUGGUGCCAAAACCACGUGUCGCUUGAUUUUUUGAAACGGCAAGAGUUUCAUACGUAUCGCCAACCCCAACCUUCUCUUGGACACGACACAAGUAAGACGAAUUCCAAAAUAGACACGUGUUUGGAUACAAAUGGGAGUUAAUAAGUAUCAAACGCUAUUCUUAAUUAUCGUAAUUCAGUUGCUGAAAAGAACUGAUUUAGCUAAUUAAGUGGAAUUUCACUAAUUAAAGUUUGACCAGCUUCCUGAUUCGAAACAUGAGUUGCCAGUGGGAACAAACACGACUCAAAACUCCGUUACCAUGAUUCUGUGCAAGACCCAAUGGAGGAAAUGAUGGAUGCAGACUCUUCAGGAUGAUUGCAUGAACUUUGACUGACGUAGAAGUCCGGUCCACAGAGAUCCUAAGAGUUUUAAAUGUUGUUUCGAUGAGUAAUGCAUAACACUAUUAAUUAGUUUCCAAAAUUGGACUGGUUAAGGUAUUCUCAAGAUGAGUUAUAUUGGGUGCUAGUAUUGUAUAUAGGUUUAUUCAGUACGCUAUAUCUUUUUGUGGCGAUGUUUUGUCCUGAGAGAUUCUUUUAUCACUACAAGAAAACAGCUUGUUUCCUACAGACGAUUUAGUCGAAAUAAGCCAUUUCUGAUGAAUUUCGUUGGUUCUAUCUCGUCGAAAAAAAAACGUUUGAAUUUCGUCGGAUUUCUGACGCAUUUCCGACGGACAAAUUUCCGACGAAAUACCGACGAAUAAAUUUCCGACAAAAUACCAACGGAUAAAUUUCUGACGAAAUUCUGACAAAUCUUAUCCGUCGAAACUUUUGUAAACUAUUUUUAAAAUAAAAUAAAUUUUAUUUUAAAUAUAAUAUUUAAUGAAUUACGUAUAACAAAUUUUAAAAAUCAUUUAUAAUAAAUAUUUUUAAUUCUUUAUAUAUAAAUAAAAUAAAAUUUAAAAUUAGGAAAACGUUUUAACUAAAUCUUUUUUGUAAUUGAACCCAUUUCCUAGAAAUUAAAAACAUUUUAAUUAAAUCUAAAAAAAAACAAAAACUUUUUAUAGAUUGAAAAGGUUUAAAAAAAUGUGAAAAACGUUUUGAUAAUCUUUAGUAACCAGAAAAUGUUUUAUAAAUUAUAACAAACAAUAAAAACUUUUUAUAAGAACUUAAAUUUUUUUUUUUGAUGAAUUUUUUUUUUAAAGUUUAAAACGUUUUAUAAAAUCAUAAAAACGUUUUAAAACAACAAUAAUAAUAAAAACUUGAAAAUGUUAUAUAUAUAUUUAUUUAUUCUAAUAAAACUCCAAAAAUGUUUUAAAAUUUGAAAAAACAUUUUAUAAAUAACAAAAAAAAGAUUCACAAAACAACAAAUUAAAUAAACAAACUACAAAAUCACAAGCAAAACCUAUCUAAACCACAACAUAACAACAAAAUCUAACAUCUAAUUCAUAAUAUUCUUCAUCCUAACAUAAAUCCAACAUUCAAAACCUUAAAUUCACAAUUUCACAAUCAAAAAGUAACAUAAGUCAAAUGAGAAAAGGAAAGAGAUGACUUACAUAAUUUGUGAGGUGGAUUUGAGGAGUUUGAGCUUAGAAUCGUUGGAUUAGAGAGAGAGAAUCAAAGAGAAUUUGUGUAUGUUUAGAGAGAGAGAGAGGAGAAGUGAGGAAGAAGAAGGGGCUUGCGCUUUUAUAUUAAAAAUUUCUGACGGAUUGGAUUCAUCAGAAAUCCGUCAAAAUUUUUUAUUUUGACGUUUCACGAAAAAUUAGGCAGGGUUUUUCGGGGCAAAUUUCAAUUUCCGACGAAUAUACCAUUUUCGUCGGAAAUUCGCCGGAAUAUAUCAUUGUCGUCGGAAUUCGACAGAAAUAUAUUUGUCAGAAAUUUCCUACGAAUUUUGAACGAAUUAUAAUAGCCAUCGAUAAUAAAUUGAUGACUUUUAGGGUUUAAAAUCUUCAUAAUGUUUAGAAACACUUGAAAACACACAAACUAAAGAUUGCAAGAUGGAUCACCGAAAAGUAUUUGCUUAAGUGUAUAAGUGUUAACGAGAAAUAUUAGGUAUCCGUCCAUGCAUCAAUCGCAAGAAUAUAUAUAUAGCUUAAAUAAUUGAGGCAAUAUUAAUCUACAUCAUAUUUAUCACUUAAUAUAUCCGGAUGAACAUUUAUUUUGAAUAUUUCAUAUCUAAACUCAUGGUCGUCGAAAAUUCGUUGGAAAUUUGUGUCGAAUAUGCUACGAAAAUUUCGCAAUCCAUCAGAAUUUCGUCGGCAAUUUUCUAGGAAGAAAUUUGUCAAAAUUUCGUCGGACAUUUCUGACGAAUUUCCUACAGAAAUUUUUCAUUUCGUCGGAAAUCCGUCAGAAAUUUCUGAUGAAUUUCCGACGAAAACAUAAACCCCAAAUCUAUACCCUAAAUCGUGUAAUCUUCCUUGGGAGUCGUCGGUAUUUUGUCGCUUAUUUUUGAUGAAAGAAAGUUCGUCGGAAAUUCCUAAGAUAUUUCCGACAAAUGGUAAAAUUUUAUAUUUCUCGAAAUCCGUCAGAAAUUUCUCAGAAAUUUCCGACGAAUAUUUCUUCCGUCAGAAAAUGAAUAUGUUUUCUUGUAGUGUAUUGCACAUGGCCAUUUGCUAAUAAUCCAGUUUUAUGGAAUGGAUCUUGUGUGUUCACGAGGUUCAUGUGGCAGUCUUUUUCAACGAUUGGGACUUGGCUUUGUUUUAACUAGUUUUUCUAGGUGUUCCGGAUUAAUGAAAAUUCUAAGUUGGAAUUGCAGAGGACUCAGGAGUAAAUGGAUUAUUAGUUAUUUGAGAGAAAUUAGGGGGAAAUAUAAACCAGCGUUUCUAUUUUUAUCGGAAACCAAACAGCAAUUUGAUUUUGUGCAGUCUUUUUAAUUUCAUUUUGGAUAUUCUCAUCUCCAUACGGUUGAUCUUAUAGGGAGGAGUGGUGGGCUGGCUCUAUUUUAUGAUUCCACUUAUAAGGUAUAUAAACUCUUCAAGCAACAUAAUUAUAGACGUCGAGACAAAAUAUAACGGAAAAUGAAUUUUUAUUUCACUUGUUUAUGGCGAGUCAAAUCAAAAUUUUAGAGACCAGAUUUGGGAGAGGCUUACAAUAGGGAUCUUGAGGGACGAACCAUGGUUUAUUAUUGGAGACUUAAAUGAGAUUACGGGUAAUCAUGAGAAACAAGGAGGAGUUCUUAGACACGCAGAUACGUUUUUACAAUUCAAUAAUAUGAUAGAGAACUGUGGUCUGAUGGAGUUUCCAAGUCUUGGUAAUACUCUUUCUUGGAACGGAAGAAGAGCUGGACAUGUGUUAAGUGUCAACUGGAUAGGGCAUUGGCAAACAAUGAAUGGCAUAAUCUGUUUCCUUGCUCUUUUGUUGAAUACUUGGGUAUGAUUGCCUCUGAUCACAGGCCGAUUGUGGCAUCAAUAGAGGAUAAAGUACUAAACUUUUGACGGUAAUUUAGAUUUGAUAAAAGAUGGAUAGGUGAGGAUGGACUGAUGGAAUCUAUUGAACGUGGAUGGUCCACUCAGAGGGGUGGACGCCGCAUGGGUAUAGUAGAUAAAAUUCAUAAUUGUUGACAUGAAAUUUCUGUUUGGAAAAAGGAAAAUCCACCUUAUGGGAAGGAAAAAAUAAAUACUCUUCAGAGGGCUCUGGAGGAUGAUCAAAGCGAUUUGACAAAAUCUCUUGAAGUAGUGAUUGAGGUGUCCAGGAAACUAAAAGAGGCAUAUCGAGAUGAAAAAUUAUAGUGGGAACAGAAGAGUAGAACUUUGUGGCAUACAUGUGGAGAUAGAAAUACUAAAGUAUAUCAUGCUUUAACCAAACAAAGACGCAUACAAAACAUGAUUAUUGGUUUAUAUAACGAGGAUGGGGAUUGGAUUAAUUCAGAAGGUGAUAUGGAAAGUGUGUCGCUUAAAUAUUUCAAUGAUCUGUUCCAGUCUACCCCGCCUUCAGAGUUUGAUAGGUUUCUAGAGGAAGUUCCAACUUGGUAACAACUGCUCAAAAUAAUAGACUAACGGCUCAUGCUUCAAAGGAGGAAGUUAGGACGUCAUUAUUUAUGAUGCACCCGGAGAAAG
rnacentral:lncRNA from 1 species